rnacentral:lncRNA from 1 species
AGUAAUAUCACGAGCUCGUCCAUGCUGCUGCUCUAAACUGUAUUGUGCAGCACCGUUAGAUGGGACAUCUUUUACUAAUGAAUGAACCCAAGAUACAUCUGGCUCAUCUACAUUUGGUGGAGCCAUUGCUGUUGAUAACGCAGCAUUACCACUUCGAAUACCAAAAGAGGACGACUUCCUAAACUUGUUUGAAUCCUCGCUGUUAAAGCCCCAGUCGAGUUUGCCAUCAGGGGAGCUCCAAUCUGACAGUUUAGAGGGCAUCAAACUUGGGGAAUUAGCAGCACCAGAAAGGCAGGACCGAUGGCCAACUCCACCACUACGGUCAAUAAAGCUCUGGCUGCGUUUUGCAAAAGAAGAUCUCGAGUUCAUUACAGCUGCUGCCACUGCUGCAGACGAGUCAUACCCAAAACUGGAAGGCUUCCUUGCUGGCGAGGAUGACAAGUUGGAAGGGUAGCUUGCAUGGAAUUGGCUUGUGUUUUGAUGAACCUGAAUCCCAUUUGGAGCCUGCAAUUGAGAUAAUAAUGAAGGAUCAAGCGAUCCAUAAAUAUUAUCAAGAUUAGUGGGCUUCAAAUCUGUAAUUUUGCUGUAUGGGGAUGAGAGAUUAGCCAUCUCAUCAGCCAACUGCCGCCUUUGUUGGUAUUGGGUUUGGAUUUUUUCCAAUCCAAGCAAAUCCAUAUCUCUUGCGCUCAGAAUCGUCUUGAGUCUGCUUCCUGGCAGCUGCAGAGCAGGAGGUGUGAGAUUUGCCUUGUGCUGCCGCACGCUUCCACCCAUGGGAGACGAACAUGUAACCGAUGGUGAUAUUGGUGGUGUUGAAGUAUUAGGGUAUAUCAAAGAAGACGAGCCAAGAGACAAAGGGCUCGGUGUUGUCAAGUCCAUUGAAUUAACCGAAACAGACUUUGGCGAAGGCAAAGCUGAACCUGUAGAGGCAUACAGAGGACGCAACUCUUCAGGCUUAUGUGCAAAAAAGCACACUUUCCUUGGGCAUCCAGUCUCGUCCUUGCAAAGACGGGUUCUGUAUUGGGCAGGAUGUAACCACGACUCAAAAACACCGUGAGCAUAUUCACAGGAAUCACCCUUUGCACACGUUCCCUUCUUAAACUCAGGGCAGGGGACACAAGUGUAGUGAUGCUUCCUUGGAUCACGCCUCCUCGCAUUCUCACCAGGAUGAACAAAAGGGCAUUCUGUCCAAUCAUGAGAAUAAGCUCUCGAGCACGUCUUCACCUUGAAACUAUACAUCCUAAACUCAUCAGUUCCAUAUACCCCGUUGUUAAUAUCUGGCAACGACACAUCAAUUGGAUAUUCUUUCUUCUCAUUCCCUCCUUCUUUUGCUACCAGGGGUCGUUUAAUUCCUUUUUCUUCUUCUUGAUCACCGGCCUCGACGCUAAUUCCUUUCAACAGCAUCUCCAAGGUUCUCCUCUUAGAAUUGUUUAAGAACUUCAUAUGCGGUGAAAUUAGGUCACCAGGUUUCUUCCCAUUGGCAUCAACAGCAUUGACAUCGGCUGAAGCAUCGAUUAAGAGCUUCACAACCUCAAUCAAUGAAUCCGAACCCCCUGCCACAGCACAAUGAAGAGCAGUAACCCCAUCUGAACCACAUGCUCUAUUGACAUCAACCUUUUGAGACCCGAUAGCAUACUUCAAAACCUCGAUGCUUCCAUACAAGGAAGCAAUCAUAAGAGAUGUUCUCUCUUCAAACCCCAUCUUCUUUGAACUAAAGCUUCUGCCAUACCAAAUGCUCACCUCAUCAAAAUUAGAACCCUUCUCUUCUACUAGAGAAAUAAAGCUUGCCAAAUCGUCCAUGGCUGCCAGUGCAAGCAACUUUGAGCAACUUUUAAACCCAGCCCUUCUCUUAUUUUCUUGAAUUUCAGCCUCCAUUUUCAUAUCAAAAGGGUAAAAGACACCAAACCCUGAAGACAAAUCAAAGAACAAACAAACUUAGGAAUCUCAUAUUAGUCAUAAACUUCAUCUCAUUAUAUAUAAUUAAAUUCUGAAUAGAAUCAUAAUUGUAUUUAUUUAAUAAAUUCAAACCAACAAUACAGUUGUUAUUACCGAGUCUCCCCUAAAAAAGAAUUCAUUUCCUUGGAAAACAAUGAAACAUUCCACCAUACAGGCGGUGUCAUCUUAGGUACUCUUACGACAAAGUCUUGUAAACUUUAAAACAAGAAAAUUAAAUACAAGAUAUGUUCGAUCCAUUCAAUUCAAUCUUUGACAUUUACAACUGCCAACCAACUAUAAAAUGAAUAUUACUCAGCAAAAGACCAUGAAAAAUGGAAAAGAAAAAUAAGAAAAACAAGAAGCAUAAAGUAUUUGGUCAAUGAAUGCUUACCUUGAAUAAGGUGUACGAGAUUUCUUCAAUUCAAAGAUGUUCAAUAAAAAUUUAUGAAGUAAACGAACUAGUCCGUGUUAUGGUAUUGUGAAAUGCUGAGACUUUGGAGGGUAUAUAUAUGUGUGCAUUUCUUGAAAAAAAUUCUCACAUAACCGUGUGGGUAGGAAAGAAGAAGGAAAGUGGGAGUUUUCUUCUUGCUCUCUUGACCUUUUUCAGAAAAAAACUGCAUCGUUAGUCACUAAUAUAUUAUCCAAGUAACAAAUUGAUCCCCGACGUAUAAAAAGGAAGCAAGUAUAUUCUUAAAAUUAAGACUGAACAAAACUCCUGAAAUGAACCCAACCGAACUCGAACCAAACUUAAAAUAAUCAAGUAAUUCUUAUUAAAAGUUAGAUACACGAAUAAGUAUCUAAAUCAAGAAUCGACGGGUUUGAUUUGAUCUUUAGUUCUAAAUCAAGAACCGAAUAAAAAUCGAAUCUCCCUAAUUUUUUUAAUUAAUUUUUUUAAAUAAGUGAAAUUAUUUUUCCUAAAUAAAUUUGUUAACUACUUAAUUUAGCUCAAACUCAAAAACAUGAUUUUUUUUAUUUCUAAUUUUUAAUCUAAGCCAAUUUAAUCAAAUUGACCUAAAUUUUACUCAAAUCUACUAUUCUACGGUAGUGUCAUUUCUAUCAUUCUGGAGAAAUCGAAUUGAAACUCGACAAUGUCUCUCUUAAUUAUUGUGAUCUUGCUAUUUUCUUCUUUCUAUAAUUUUAACAAUAAAAUUUAUGAAGAAUUUAGCAAUAUGCAAAAGACACAUGAGAUUGACUACAUUAUUUUGUAAGAAUUAAGAUUAAAUAUGUCAUUGUUAAAUUAAUGUAACUUUGUAAGUAUUAAAAAAAUUUAAUUAUAGUAUAGAACUCAAGAAUUGAAAUGGAAUCGAAUCGAAUGGAACCUAACUUGAACGGUUCCAUAAUUAAAUUUGGACCUGACGAUUUCACUUACUAAAAUAGCCAGAAAUUUUGAGUCCAAUUCGAAUCUCGUUAGAAUCGAAUUAAACCGAACCAUGCCUAGCCCCUACUUACAAUUCAAUGGUAAUUUUAUAAUAGUCAUAAUCUAAUGUUGUUAUUUUGUUUAUAAAAUAUUUAUUAUCGGUCAAAACACUUUUUAUUCAUAUAUUUUUUGGGAUAAAAAAUGCUAACAAUUUUUCCAUUGCUCUUAUCUAUUUAUUUAUAAUUUGAAAUAUUUAUAAAAAUUUCCAAACAUGGUUAAUGGUAACAGUGACUCACUAUCACAAUGAGUGGUAAGCAUACGUACUAUUUAUAAUCAGAAUUAUACCAAGGCCAUGUUUGAUUGGCCCUUUUUUCAUGAAUAAUGGAAUUCAAAUUUCAUUUUUCACCAAUUUUGUGUGUUCGAUAAUAAAAGUUUUUCAUGGAAUCCAUUUUCCAUCUUUUCCCCACACGUGCAUUUUCCAUGAUUUGGUAGAAAAUAAAUUCUGUCCAAAACGGUGAAAUUGAUUUUCCAGCUUUUUUCAGUAAUGGAAACAAAUUUUAUUAAUAAUUGUAAAAAAAAAAAAUGUAUCCUUCAAAUUGACAAUUUUCAUAAAAAACAAAACAAAACGAACACCAAAAUAUAAAAUGAUUUUUGGAUCUUUUUUAAAUUUUUUGCAAUAGAAACAAAUUUUAGGAACAACUGUAGAAGUGGAUAUUCCUUAAAUUGACAAUUUUCAUGAAUAACAAAGUCAAACGAACACUAAAAGACACUUUUAUAUUAAUAUUUUUCAGGUGAGAAAUUAUAUAGAUCAAACACUAUUAAUUAUCAAUUCCCACUAAAAUAAAUUCUAGACAAUUCAAUUUCUUCAUUUCAUUUUUUUCACCCAAAUUCCUUCUUUGCAAUCGAACAUGCCCUAAAAUUAAUUAUUAAACUAUCUUUUGACUCUUGAAAAUAUUUUUUACUUCAAAUUUUUAAACUCCCACCCAAGUUAAAAAGCGAGACCCAACAUUAUAAAUUAUAAAAGUGAAAGUUACAUGGAGAUUUACUAGAAAUUUGGACAUCGUCAUUUUUAAGGAUUGAUUGUAUUACUAAUGGGAAAAAUUGAGAAUCAUUUUGUCCUUUAGUUUAGAGACUAACUCGCUAAUGGGGUAGUAAAUUGGGACUCAAAAUGAAAAUUUACAAUAUUCCUUGAAGGCUUCAACUUUUUGUUACUUCAGUCAAAGUCAAACCUUCAAAGCAGGUCCACCCUGUCGUACUGGUUCUAGCUUAUGCCAUAGAAAAUGCAAAUGCAGAUGAAAUAUAAAUUUAAAUGUAAACUCAAAUGAAGCACUGGGGAACCGCAGUGGGUCCCACUUAACUUUUUCAAAUUCUCUAGUAACAAAACCGGACAACCGGUUUUCCUGUCACGCGGAGGUUCACUGUUGGAAUUUGAAUUCCGUCUGUCACCAGUCGGCGCGUGCACAACAGUUUAUUUGUUAUUAUUUAUAGCAUCACAGCUUAUUUGAACUUAAUUUGACAAACAUGUAUAGAUUUUUAAUUAUUUGCUAUUUGUAGCAUCACAGUUUAUUUGAACUGAUCAUCAUACCUUUUUCAUAGUAGAGAUGACAAAAAAAUCUGUUCAACUCGAUACUCAUGUGACUUGCCUCGACUGUGUCGAGAAUUACCAUCUAACCAGAUAAGCAGGAGAAAAUAGGGCAGGCACGAGAUUGGAGACAUUCUCCUGAAUCGGGUAUGGAGUGAGUAUGAAAAUCAUAGUUCUUGUCCCACUACCCGUCCCGUUUAAAGUUAAUUUCAAACUAAAUAUUUUUAUCAAACAAAAAUAACAUAUUUAUCAUUAUUUUUAAAGAGAAAGUGAGUUAUUUUUAACAAAUUGGAAAAAAAUAUUUAUUAACUAAAGACAUAAAAAAUAAAAGUACAAAAUAAAAUAAAUAAAUAAAUAACAUAAAAAUAAAAAUAAACAAGUCCGUCCAGUCAUACUGUAAUUGUGUUUAGGGAUGGGGAAGGUGACAAAAAUAGUUUAUGGGAUGGGAGUGGGAAUGGUCAACUCGUCUCAUUUCACGUUUGUCAUCUCUAAUUCAUUGUAAUACUUAUAUCUAACUUUUUUUCAUCCAAAUAUUAUAUUUAAUGUUUCAUUAAUUAGUGCAUGUCCUCCUUAAUGGUAGUUUUUGUGCAUACUUUGUUUGUGUGAGGAAAAUAUAUUUGAAGCUUUUUAUAUUUAUUUUCUUAAAAAUGAUGAAAAAAUAAGGCAUUUUACACUUUUCAAACGAUUUUUUUGAUGAAAAUUGUUAAAGGAGACAAGAUCAGAUAAUCAAUGAAAAAUUCAAGCUAUUAAGUGCAAUUAAAAUAUAACACAACAAUGUUAAUAUAAUUAAUUUUUUAAUUAAAUGCUACCUAAAUAACAGCUUUAUCAUGCAUCCUUUGUAAAUUAGAAAACAAAAAUGAAAAUAAAAAUACUAAAACAUAAUACAAAAUUUUACGUGAUAUCGAAGUAGUGUUUGUCAAAUUUUUAAAUCCAUGGCCACCUAAUUCUUUACUUAGUAUUAAAAUAGCCAUCGAACUUGAAUUUGUUUUACGAUGGUCAUCAAACUUUAUAAGGUAAAUAGUACUGGAAUUUGGUAACCUUUGAACAUUUUGAUGAUGGAUCAUAAGCCUUUAAUUUCUAGAACUUAGAGUUUCAAAGCUUUUAAAUGUCUAGUUCUGGGGUUCUUUUACGAUAAAAAAAUGUUAGUCUACAUGAAAUUAUAUAUUUUUAUUAUUUAUAUUUAUAUUACGUUCUAUGAAGUUUUCUCGGAUAAAAGAAAAAAGAAAUUUCAAUCGCAAUGGAUACUAAUUAAAUCACGCAUGCAUUCCUAACAAUUUUUUAUGUUUCAAAAUUACCAAAAAUGGAUAAGAAAUUUAUUUUUAACAACAAAACAAGAAAUAAUAUCAAAAAAUUAUUCAUUAGAAGAUAGCAAUUUGAUUUAUAGAUAUAUAUUUUUACAACAUUGAAAGAGUGGAAUAAAGUAUUUUCUAUAUUUUUAAUAUUUUGCUAACAUAUAAAGCCCCGGUUGUGUAUUGAUUUUUCACUCUAAAAAAUUAAUUUUUUUACUGUUAUUUUAUUAUUUCGGUCGUCAUUUUUUACUUUUCACUUACAAGUGACUCUCACUUUUCUCUCGUCACUUUUCUCUCUACGGUCAAAAAAUCAGUUUUCAUAAUUACUACAGAACAUAUCCAAAGAUUAAUUUUUAUAGUAUUGUAUAAUAAUUUAUUUAUUUAUUUUCCCCUUUGCACAACAAAAGCUCGAGCUCUACAACAUUUUUCUUCCUCUUUUACACACGCGCGCACACACAAAUCACGUGGAGGAUGUGCGCGUAGGAGGAAUUGUAGGGUUUACCGGUUGAAUAUUUCAAGCCGGUAUCACGCUUUACGCGCUCUCUGGGUAACACGCUAUUUAGCACACGUUUGUGCCAGCUGCAGCGUCACCUCUCAGUCUUCCACCACGGGCUUGGACUUUGUUUAGUGAGAAGCAAAUUGCCACGUUUUCAAUAUUUUCAUUAUGAAGCUUUGAGAAAUAUAUUUAUUUAUUAUUACUAAAUUUUUUGCAAUUGAAACCGGAAUCAACCCGAAGUCAAAAUAAUUUGUUUUGGCUAUCGAACCAACUAUGCCGGUCCAAUUUUCAAAACAUUGAAGGAUAAAAGCAGAUAUAUUGGCCUUUUGUUGUUGACGAAGUAGAUUUUCUCCGUAGGAUCGAUAAUUUACAAUUGAACGUACUCAAGUGUCUGUUUGACACCCUUUAAUUUGUUUUAUGACUUACUACAAGAUCAUUUUCAAUCACAACAUUCACACAUUAAAUAUUCUACACGAAAUAAUCAUCAUUUAACCAAUACAUCAAAUUUCAUUGCCUGAGAAAAGGAUGCCAUAGAUUAACAACAGUUUAUAACCCCCUAAUUAAAUAUAAUUAAAGAUCACGAACAUCCAAAGAUCAACUUCUUAUCACCAACCCAGCACAACGAGAAAAAAUAAAAAUAAUAAUAAUAAAUGAGUUACAAGCUCCAUCUCUGACCAGUAUGAGAAAGCACUUUCCUCCUGUCAAUAUUUUUGACAUUGCCCAAUUAGAAGCAUUUUCUGUGCACAAUUGAUGGCCCGGACUCAUCGUAUUCAGCCUUUGCAAUCCACAUCUACAAAAGAGAUAAGAAAACAACUCAUUUAGAAACUGUAUGUUAAGUAUCGUAUAUGAAUAGAAAAUGCCUUGAGCCAAUGUUCGAACCUGCUGGAAGGUGCUGAGGGAUGCCAAGAUGGAGCCUCCUAUCCAUACACUGUAUUUCCUUUCAGGAGGUGCAACCACCUUAAUCUUCAUGCUACUUGGAGCUAGUGCUGUAAUUUCCUUGCUCAUUCUGUCAGCAAUACCUGGAAACAUGGUCGAACCGCCACUAAGUACAAUAUUACCGUAUAGGUCCUUCCUAAUAUCCACAUCACACUUCAUGAUGGAGUUGUAUGUGGUUUCGUGAAUGCCUGCUGCUUCCAUUCCGAUCAUUGAAGGCUGGUAAAGAACCUCAGGACAUCGAAAACGCUCAGCGCCAAUGGUAAUAACCUGCCCAUCAGGCAACUCGUAGCUCUUCUCCACAGAAGAGCUAGUUUUUGAAGUCUCAAGCUCCUGCUCAUAGUCAAGGGCAAUGUAAGCUAACUUUUCUUUCAUGUCUCUCACAAUUUCCCGCUCUGCAGAGGUGGUGAAAGAGUAACCACGCUCUGUGAGGAUUUUCAUCAAGUGAUCAGUAAGGUCACGACCAGCCAAGUCGAGACGAAGGAUGGCAUGAGGGAGGGCAUACCCCUCGUAGAUGGGAACAGUGUGGCUGACACCGUCACCAGAAUCCAGCACAAUACCUAAGCAGGAAACAUGAUAGCACAUCAUCACCCAUAAUUAGGCAUAAAAUUCAGCACCUCAAGCACAUAAGAAGCAACAAUUCAAUUAACACAGGUUUCUGAGAAAAUCAAAUAACAUUUAUAAAUAGGUUCUCAAAUAAAACAUUUUGAUUUCUGAAAAGCGGGCUGGGAAAUAUGGGUCUGAUCAAGUUGAAGACACAUAUACUCUUAAACUGAGACUCGCUUUCUGAAGAAAGUAUCGGAAAGGCCAUUACUGAAAUACAAGACAUCAAGGCACAUAAACUGUUUUGGGAUUAGUGAUAAUUUAAUUGAAAUCAGGGGCAUAUCUACUUGUGAUGCCAAUUCUUAUGGAAAGCUUCAAAAUCUGACAACAGAAAUUCAAAUGACUUCAAUACCUUUAUUUCUUGAUAAUUCAAGAUUCUAGUAAAAGUGGUGCCUUAAGGGGCCACAAGCCUGUAUUACCUGAAUAUUCAACAAUUCAACACACACACACAUAUAUAUGGUCAGGCUCAUUGACCCACUUAACUUUUCUUAUCAUACAGAAAUCUUAAUGUAUUGAGCUCAGCUUCUGACCAAUCUCUGAUUUUCUUCUUUGUUCCAUUUUAUAUCAAAUGACUUCAAUAUCAUUAUCAGAAAUUAUAAACUGAUUAAAAUGCAACAGAUGCUUACCGGUUGUACGACCACUAGCAUACAGGGAAAGAACAGCUUGAAUAGCAACAUACAUAGCGGGGGUGUUGAAUGUCUCAAACAUAAUUUGAGUCAUCUUCUCACGGUUAGCCUUGGGGUUGAGAGGCGCUUCAGUCAGAAGAACCGGGUGCUCUUCUGGGGCAACACGGAGCUCAUUGUAGAAAGUGUGAUGCCAUAUCUUCUCCAUGUCAUCCCAAUUGCUCACAAUUCCAUGCUCAAUUGGAUAUUUUAGGGUUAAAAUACCACGUUUUGACUGAGCUUCAUCUCCAACAUAUGCAUCUUUUUGUCCCAUGCCUACCAUCACACCAGUGUGACGGGGGCGACCAACAAUGCUAGGGAACACAGCUCUUGGAGCAUCAUCACCAGCAAAUCCGGCCUACAAGGAACACAAAAGUUUCUAUCAAACUCAACAAAGAGAAACAGGGUAAUUUUGGCAGCAAAAAAGGAACAGCUAUAUUUGCAACACUGAGGAUAAAGAAACUUCAGAUUAUACCUUAACCAUUCCUGUGCCAUUGUCGCACACAAGUGGCUGAAUAUCCUCUGCAUCUGCCAUCUUAUACUACUUCCUAAAUGAAAAACCACAGCUUUAAUAAGUGAAGAAUUGACUAUCCUUUCACUGAUUUUUUGAUAAUUUAAUUUCAUAAUAAAAGUGUAUCUUGGAUUCUUGGGGAUUUAACUUCCAAAUGUAGAUUAUAGUCACGUGUGAUGUACAAAAUAGCAGUCCAGAACAAAAUUGAUUAAAAGGAGCACCAUCUUAUCUAAAUGAUACAAAUAUAAGCAGAUGUCAACUAUCAGAUAUGCCUCAUUUCUCUCCUCAAAUUUUGCAACAAAAUGCAAUGUUGACAUAUGAAACUUUUUGUGUCCACCGCAACAAACUUGGGGAAAAUAAUCAGAAAUGGUUAAAUCGAUGCACAUAAAAACCUGAUUGACACAAAAACAAUCAAGAACGAUGUAUAUUUGCAGAACCUCCUUUGUGAAUGAAUCUUACCAAGCAAAAAUUAACCAUGCACAAUUAAGACCUAAGUUGCACAAACACGCCAACAUGUGAUUUUUCUAAAAGUAGGACAUGGAACACCAAGGACACAUCAAUUUAAAUUCAUAAAUUAUAUCUUUGUUUUUAACUUCUAACAUAAAACAAGCCAACACGGCACAUGGCACAUUGAACACUUUCUUGAGAGGUGUCUCUAGAGCAUCUCUGGAUGUCUUUAACAAAGUAAAGUGUAUAAAAAUUGGGACAAGGACACGUGAUUUGUUGGAUACAUGAAGUGUCAGAGGAUUAGAAGGAGUCUCCAUGCAUCAUAGUUGAGGACCCUUGGAAAUAAAUCCAUUGCUACAUGGAUCGAUUGAUCCCUUUAACCAUGAGAAGAUAAGGAGAAAAGUAUUAUCUAAAUACUAAUAUAUGUGCCAGUCUUCUUCCCUUUCGUUGAUACAGAUAGAAUUAUAAUUGUAAGAUUUGGAAAAAUUAGACCACCAAAAUCAAAUUCUCAAUAACACACAGCGAAGAAUCAAGGAAUAGGAAAGAUCUAUAAUAGCCAUUAAAAAUCCAACAUAAAUCAACCAUCACUGAUUAAGAUAUAGUGAUUGAGAUAACCAAUGCUAGAAUAAAUUCUUAAUCGACAAUUACAGAUAUAGUGAACACCAUGAUUAACUUCACUUGGAGUACACAAGAAAUGUAAUUUGUCAUCACAACCAUUAUAUCUUAAACAAGGAUCCUGAUUUAUGUUGGAUUUUCAAUGUUGGAGUAUACAAGAAAUGUGAUACGGUCUGUAGCAUUACCUCCUCGAAUAAUUUGAAGUAGAGAAAAGAAUUUCAAAACCAUACCAAAAAUAUACUAAUUCAAUGUACUUUUACAUAAUUAAGGUUAACAAUCAAGGAAAAUGCCGCUCAAAACACAUGCCAAAUGACGUGCUGAUCCCACGACAUCGUAAACUCAUAAAUCGAACAAAAACCCAAAAAUCAUAGCGGAAAAUACAAAAUUAUAAACAACACGAACAUGGGUUAUCCAGCUGAAGUCAAUUUAUGUGCAGAUCAACAGUGGCAUUGAACAAAAAACACAUAAGAAACCAAAAGAAACAGGAAACAAUGGGGAAUGAGUGAGCAAAUACCUGAAUUAGUAAAUGAAUGAAGAGAUGUGUGAAAGAAAAUAUAAAUGAAAAGGAAAAGGUAGAUUUAAAGGGAGAAAAGAAUGGAAGAGAGAAUCUGUUGGCGAAGGAUGAGGAGAGGACGAAGGAGAGAUCAGUGACGCGGGUAGUGAAAUUGAAUGGGUUUCAAAAUCGCCCAAAUUGAGAGGGUUAUAUGAAGAGGAGAGUGGACAGAUCUCAACUGUUGGAUUCUCCUCCAAUUCCUACGCUCUGGAUGCGCGGAGCCAGAAUCAUCACUAACCGGAAACAAAUUUGAGAAAAUAUUGAAUUAUAAUUUUCGAAUAUUAGGCCUAUAUAUAUAUAACCGAAAACAGUGAUUUGAUAUCAUUUCAACCACACAUUUUUCAAAAAAAUAAUAUUACACGCAAAUUCAAAAUUUUUCUUUAUUUUUUAACCAUGCAUUUUUUCAUCAAUACCUAUUUAAAAAUACAUUCUUGUGAAAAUAAUAUGGCUCAAAUAAAGGCUAGAAAAGAUUCUUGAUGCCUUUCGAAGCACUUUUAAAUUUGCUAAAUCGUUGGAACAAUAAGCUCAUAAACGAGUUAAAAAUGGUUGUAUGGAAUGAGUAUAAUAAAUUUAACUUGUGAUCGUCAUCUCUUUUGAAUUAUUUUUUAGGUAUAUUUUUCGACUAUCGACAUAAGUUCUAGAACUGAAUUUGUGAAUUUAGAAACUGAUAUUUUUCGAGGUAUAUAUAUCACAAACUUUCAAGUUGAUGCAUUUAUUUGUAUAAAUAUUUAUUUUUAUUUUGAACUGAAUUUGUGAAUUGAGAAUAUGAUAUUCUUAGCUGGACUUUUGUAUUGUAGUUUUUAUGUUGAAAAAAUUCCUCGCUGAAAAAAAUAAUAAUAAAUAAAUAAAUAAAUAAAUAAUAAUAAUAAUAAUAAUUAAAAAAAUUGAAAGCCCUCUGUUGAUUAAUCCUAGAUCUGCCCAUGUCUAUACUUUAAAUUGUUUUAAAACAGUCAUUUUACUUUCAAAGUAAAAUUUAAAAUAUUUUGGAUAGUUACUAUAAUAUCAAGGUUAUUUUCUAGAAUUCGUACUUCCAAAGUUGUUGAUCCUAUAGUCACGGAAAUUCUAUUUUGGAUUACUAAUUUCAAAGUAGUUUUUCAAUGAUCAUUGUAUUUUUAACAUUGUUACUCUUCCUUCACUUUGCAUUGUUUAAAUAAUUAAAACUAUUUGCCACAUCGUUGAAAUAGUUAAUUUUCAAACAAAAUAGACAGUGACAGAUGAGAAACAAUGUUGAAAUUACAUUGACUAUUCCGAAUCCUAAAGUUCAAUGUUUAUUUGUAAACAACAUUAUAAGUAGAGGGUAAAAUUGUUCGAACAUAACCGACGUGACCCUAUUCGUCUAGCACAGUUCAAAAGUAAAUUAGUCAUUGAAAUUUUCAACCCUAAAAAUUAACUUUUGGGUGGCUUAUUUAAUGAUAUUACUUUUUAAUUACUUUCGUAAAAUGAGUAAAUUUUAAAUUCCUUUGUUACUAUUCAAAUUUUCUUACACAUUCAGAAAAGGGAAAAUUGCAGUCGAAGUACCAAACCUUUCGUUUAUUAGCAGACUUUGUCCAAACCUUUGAUUUGUGCCACCGUGAGUACCAAACCUUUAAAAAAUAUGCAGCUCAAAUCCAAAAUGACGAUUUCCGUUUGUUUGACCUCAAAAUUCGUCUGUUGACCCCAAAAUCUUUCAGUUGACCUCAGAAAUUAAAAAUUUAAUAAUUUGACCAUAUUAUGUUAUUUUUGUCUAAAACUGCAUGUAUUUUGAUUUUGCUAUACUAUGUAUUUGAUAUGUUAAGAGUUAAUGAGAUUAAGCAUAUGUUUGGUGACUGUUUAUAAAUUAAUAGAAAUAAGUGAUAAAUAAGUAGGUACUACACCGUGAAGAGGGUGUGGCUCAAUUUGUGGGGGGCGUGACCUUUUUUCUACUUGUUAAUUUUCACGUUAUAAUAUUUCGUGUUGGGAGAAAUUUUCAUAGUUAAAUUAGAACCCUCACUAGAUCCGAGUUCUGGCUCCAUCACUGAUAGUACUAGUAGAUAAAAAGUGAUUUGGCUCUUAGCAAGUGAUUAUAAACAAAUGCAUUUGCCAAACAUACUCUGAGCAAGAGACAUGCAAUGUAUUUAGUUGUUAUUGUGUCUAUUUAGUACAUAGGACUCAAUAAAGUUAAACAAGAUAACGAACAAUAAUGUCACAUCUUCCUUUCCUAAUCGUAUUCGUAUCAACUUGCGUUCAAUCCAACAUAUCAUGCACACCCCUCAUAGGAUGUUUGAUAAAGUAAAUUGUAAAGUAAUAGAGACUACUAAGGAAUAAAUUAUUGACAUCUUAUCGUUCGGUCUCAUUUAACGUUGUGUAAUAAACGUGCUUCUGCUCUUCUACUUCAAAAAAAGUAAUGUUAUUUAGCUCCAAUGGAAUUACAACUCUAGUUUAGGUAGCGCAAAUAUGGCAUUAAAUGAUAUUUGAAAUUAAAUAAGUCAUUUAAUUUUACAUUUUAUUUAACUUAUCAUCUAAUUCCACCUAAAUUGGGAUUGUAACCCCAAUGGGUCUACAUAACAUUAUUCCUUCAAAAAUGCUUUGGAAACUAUGAUUUGUGACAUUAAUGAAAAGAGCAAUGCUAUUCAUAAAGAGGAAUAUCGAUAGUCAUGAUUAUGUGUCAUAUAUUUAAUCACCUAAUCAUUCAUAGCGAAUAAUAUUAAUUAAAAAAAUUAAAGAAUUAAAUAUAUACCACAUAAGAUGAUAAUGAAACCUCAAUUUUAUCCUUGCAAAAGUACAUAUAUGUAAAACUUUGUGAACCCUUUAAGGAAAAGAGUAGUCAGAAUGACAGAAUCCAACUGUUAUGUAAUUCCCCAUGUGUAGGUGGGCACCAAGAAAAGAUUGCUUCACAAGUUGUGCAUCAGGUUUCAUGAUUAAAAAUUGUAUUUCUUUCACUUGAAAGACAUGUUCGAUAAAAUGAGAUGUACAAAACUAGAUAGAAUUGAGAAAGUAUAAAUUAAAAACUUAUUUUUCCAUUAUAGAAUUUUGGAGUUUUAACUUAGAAAUUCAACUUUACUAAAAAAAAAAAAAAAGUAAUUUAAAUCCUUACAUAUUAAUUAUUAUUCUCAUAAAUACGGAAUUAAUGUAUAGAGUUUUAUGUGGUAUGAGUCGUGCUUUGUGCUUUACAACCUGUUGCAUGCUGUGACCUUUCUAUCCAAAUCUCAUCUGGAAAGAGUGACAGUGUAACCCCACAAAAGCUUUUGAAGCAUGGAAUUUUAGAGGAUGAAAUCAUGUGCUAUGUACUAAAAAUUAAAGCUUUUUGUCAUAAUAAACAUACAAAGUUGGGUUGUACAAUCAACCAAGCAUAUAUGCUUCCUGCUUUUCUACAUAUAUAGCAUAGUCGUCAUCCUCUAUUUUUUUUCCCUUUUUUUAUUAUUUUUAUUUUUCUUGCAGUACAAUGCUUUUCUCACUAAUAAUUUUAAUUCAUCACCUACUAUUAAUUGCAUUGCCAUCAAGCUUCUUUUUCACUUUUUCGCAAUUUGUUUAGCUUUACAUCCGUCCCAAGGUAUCAUUUCUAAUACGUCGGUGGGACACGCUCGGACACAUUGAAUACAUCCUAUACAUGUAUCAUAAAUCUUUAUUGAAUGUGACAUUGGAUCUAUACAUUUUUUUCCGUCAUAAAUUUUCGAUCUAGUAAACUUAUAAAUGAAUCAUAUAUUUAGAUACCAGACGAAUCAAUGAGUGAUCAGAAUUAAUCUACUUGUGGAUUGGUUUAUGAGAGAGGGCUAAAAUACUUCGAUUUCUUAUGUUUUUGCAACCACGAUCCUACCUGACACGUAACAAACCUGCUAAUUAGAAUUAAUUUCAGAAUAAUUUCUGAAUAUUCGAAUUUCUAUUUAUAUAAUUAAUACUAUUUAUUCAACAAAUUGGAUUGGUUAAUACGAGUUGAUUUUCUAAUCGACCCAUUAAACUAAGUCAUCAAUGAUCAAAAGGUUGAAUCGAUAAUAAAUCGAAAAAACAAUGACAUUUAGGAAGGGAAUUCGUCGAUUUUUGGAUGAAUUGGCGAGUUCGGUGAUUGCAAGUAAGGAAAAGAUUUAGGUAACUUCAAUCUUAAUUGACCUAUUGGACUCUAAAGGAAAGAUAUUAUUUGUAAAGUAGAAACUCGUCAAUUUCCAAGGGAAACUCGAUCUUACUUUAACACAAGGGCUGGCGAAUAUCAUUGACAGUUGCAUCUCUGUUUGUGCAUAUUAGAGGAAGUGCUCUGCUAGGGAAAUCAACUGCACGCUUGGAUUUGGGAUGAAAUCAUGUGCCAUAUCCUUCCAAUCUUUCAAGUGUAAAGACCUUUGUUUAUGGCGUACUUGAUUUGAAUUGUUCCAAAAAUGGAAAUAUCUCUACCCGAGUUUGGACCUAAUACAUAAUAACAACGUGCCUAUCUUCCUCAAUCACGACAAGUUUAACAUACUAAACACAUCAUUUAUGCAUUGAACAAGUCUCAAACACACUUCCUGUUUAUAGGAAACUAGAGUAAUGCUAAUCUGAUCAUCAACUAUUCAGAAUUCCCAUUCCACAGACACAGAUUUAGAAUCUCAUGCACAAUUCAGUAUGUAAAGAUGAUUUAUGACAAACUAGUUCUGAAUGCACAAGCAAUCGAUCAAGUAUUAUCGAGUAACUGAACACUUAAUAAUCAAGAUCACAACAGCAGGAAUUUCUUUGCAUCGACCCAAAUUUCAAGAAAUUGAAAUCCUAUUGCUCAACAUAUUAAAUAAGUCCUAAAAAGAUAUCACCAAAGGAGUGGCACAAUGCCAGGGUUUGCCAUUGUCCAACCUUUCAUGGAAAGCAAACUAACAGAUAAUCUGAUCCAUUAUUAAAGCUCUUGUGAUAAUUGACCUCUUUCGAACUUCGACGAUGCUGCUUAAUUCGUACUCCACAAGAAAUCAAGUGCAUGAUUGCCCGUAAAUCUACAGGAAUGGGGGCAGUAUUACCCAUCGUCGGGGAUAUUUUGGUCUUCCCUCCUUUCCAUCAAAUAGCUGCAAAAGGAGGACAUACAGGUAAGAACAAAAAUUAUGUUAUAAGAUGUUAACAAUAAGCUAUGGUCUAUAUACUUUAAAUGUUUACUGCGUAAAGAAAUGGUUUUUGAUCAUUCUUAAUAAAGUGGAAAACUCGAAAAAAAAAUUCGUAUCAAGUUGUCUGGUCUAGGCCUUUUGGAGAUCAGCUUGCACUUAGGCAAACGAUUUGCUAAGAAGACUCUUAAAUCACACGGUUCUAUUUGAGUUUCAAUGAAUAAGAAAACUGAGUUAUCAAAUCAAGUAUUAAAAGAUAAGACGUGUGUCAAAACGAAUCUUGAACAAUGAGAAUAAAUAUCUCUGCAAAGUGCAGUCACAUGAACCCCCAGGGAAGCCACUCGAGUGACCAUUAUACUAACCUCUACCCAUCAAAUAAGUUUUGAAUGAAGUAGCAAAGAACGCUGACUUACAGAAAACCUAGGCUCAUAUUGACAAAGAAGAAUAUCAUCCCAAGUGGGUCCACAAAGUCUAAGCAAACAAGGGAUAAGUCAUCUGUUUCUUCCUUUUUUAUCAAAAGCAACAAGAAAAAAAUAAUUUACCUUCUUUAGUCGACGGUGCUUCGCGAGAGCCCAGUUUGUCAUUAUGGAGGCAGCAACAACCAUAAAUAUAUAGCCCGCUACAGUCUGUGUAGCAAUGUUGAAGCCUAGCCACUGAUAAAUCUCGGUUGUGUAAUUUGCACACGUGAUAAUGUUGAAUAAAAAGCCAUGUGGAAUUUGGUACCCUCCACCACUAUCAGCACCCCGGAGAUUUCUCAACAAGAUAUGGCAAUAGAAAUUUGCAAUUUGACAAAGCAACCCAAACACAAACCCAAUCUUCAUUUGGAGAUCACUGACUGGUGUGUAAAGUGGGUGGUUGACAUAAUAAGCAAUGUAAGCACCAAAGCUCCAGUAAUAAGCACAGUUCCGAAAGACAUUGGAAAGGGGUGACGUAGCAUGGCUGAAACGGUGCACAAAAAAGGUUUCCAUUAUACGUUUAAAGUAGUGGAAACACCAGUAAUACAAGGCAUACAUCUGGACAGGAUGGAUGACACGCUCCUUUUUGUAGCCGAAAAACUGGUACACAGGGUAGUAAUAGAACAUAGGAUAGAGGAUCAAAGGGCCCAAGUAUUCCCAGAAGAAAAGGGUGCUGUACUUGACUUGGGGACCUAGAUCCUUGAAAACCACAGUCAGUGUGUCUCCAUUCCCAUCUGUGUAUUCUUUGAGACUCUUCUUGUAGUGAAGGACAGUGGGCUUCUCUUUUGAACCCGGCGGAAUAGGCAGGGUCAAUCGCUGUCUAGAGGGAUAGUACUUCUUGGCUGUAGCCAGAAUACAUUAAAUUAUAUUAAAAAGGGCAUAUGCAAUAAAGCAUAACUCGAAUAGAAAGAAAUGAAGAAAAAAAAUACUGUAAAGCAAGAGAAGAGACAAUCGCAGAAGGGCUUUCAAUAACCUUAAGCUUUUGUUCAGUUGACCUAACAAACGAUGCAUUAUUUGAUUGUUUCUGCACCUCCAAGUCAAUUAUCUUGUUAUAACUAAAACAAGCAUACAAAUAAGUUUAGCCCUUGUUUAGGCUCCAUUAAAAUCAAAUUUUGGGGAAAAAUGUAUUUUGGAAUAGUGAUUUUUUGAAGAAUGUGUGGUUAAUAAGGAAAGAAAAGUUUUGAAUUUACGUGUAAUAUUAUUUUAUUAGAGAACAUGUGGUUGAAAAGAAGAGAGAGAAAAAUGUUUUUUGAAUAAAAUGGAGCAAAAACAAGGGCUUAAUAUUCUAGAAGUCCUAAUAUACACUCAUUAGCUACAUGUGUGUACAUAUUCGGGAGCGUGUGUUUCCAUUUCAACUAACAGAAAAUACAAUACGUGAAAGAUUUGAGAAUUACUAGCAAAGAACUACAGAUUAGCAAAAAUCAAAGUCAAAGUUGAAUGACUUAAAAGAUACAUCUGAGCUUAAUACAGAACUAUCCACUGUUGUUCGUUACAAUUCUAAAGACGUGUCCGUACUAAUGUAGCAUUCCAAAUAAAACAGAACAAUCUUCUGCAUUCAUAAGGCAUGCACCUGAAGAUUAUGCUUCUCAACAUAUCCUCAGUGCAUAUUCUUAAUUCACCAGAAAACAAAGAAAAGUGCUCCCCCAUCUACCACACCCCCUCUUAGUACAAAGUUGAUAAAAAGUUGCACCUCAGCUCAACAAUUUCAAAUACAAAUAUAAAAUCUACCCUCCACCUGCUAUCAUAUAGUUUACAAUGGCUUUAUUUAUGCAUGCGUGACUUAUUCUCAAUUUUCUAUUGCUAACUUUGAAUGUGUAAAUUUCGUUCGCAUCAUGCGUGACUUAUUCCCUAUGCAUGCAAAAUUUGUUAAACAACCUGAGAUGAAGAUCGGUGCUUAAGAAAGAACCAGAGGAACUAAAAUAUCUGCUAAGAAAGUCCAAUUGAUGGAAGAAAUUUUUUCUUAUCAUUUCUACAUGACUGUAUCAGUCUGGUGGAUAGUGGAUAUCCUCUGUCCUAUCCCCUCUACAACAACUCAACGAGAGAACUUGCUUUUGUGUUUAAAGACUUACUGGAAAAAUUUCAAAGAACGUAUGUGCUUUGGAGACAAGUUAUUUUAACAAAAAGUAUUACUUUAUAUCUAUGGAUCAAAAAUAAGCACUGAAAAGAUCAUAAGCAUCUGAGUGGUCCUUAGCAUCAACUUUUCAUCUGUUCUAUUAUUUAAAAAACUCUGAACUAAUUUUGUGAGAACUUCCAAUCCCUUUAUAUCUCUUUUGUCAUUAGUUUAAAAAUGUAGGCACUAUUUUGGAAGAUAUUAUUGACAUUCAGGGGUUCAAGAUGGCCUUGGAGCUUACUUUUCUUUUUUCCCCCCAGUUGCCCCAUACCUUAUACCAUAUUUAUUCUUCUGAUUUUUCAGGUUUUACUCCAUAUAAUGGGCACGGAAUUUUACAUUGAGAAUCCUGAUCCUCUCUGUGUAUUCCUCCUCUUAAGAGCACAAAGUAUUCGCUUCAAUACAACAAAGAACAUACAUCAGAGCCAAUGAUUAAACCAACAGAAGUAAAAAGAAAGUGACUCUAGUUCACUUACGAUUGCCUAGCAGUUUAAAAUUAUUAUUCAUGCCUUAAUUGGAUAAAAUAUAGCACGCCAAAAACAUGCACAGUGAAUGACUGAAUGCACAUUCCAAAUAAACAUUCCUAGCAAAUGCCUUCAACAAAUUAUAACAAUUAAAUCCAAGUGAUAUCAGGCUGUGAAAUAUAUGCAAGCAAGCCAACAGCUUUAACCUUGAGACUAAAACUCGUUUAAGUUAUUUUAUCGGUAGAAAAAGUCAAAGAAUUCCUGUCCCUUGUGCUUCAAAGAAAAAAGAAACAUUAACAAAUGCAUUGAAGCUAAUAACUAUAAGAUUGGUGUAAUGAACUAGAACUGAAUAAACUAAUAAUCUAAAUUUUCUGCAGAAGUUACAUCAUGAAUGAGCAAGAGGAACUUAUUUUCUCAUAAGCAAUUAGUUUUGAGAAAGAAAUAGUGAUAGGUGACAAAUACAAUGUAGAUACAGUGCGGUAUAUAUAAUGUACUGAUGUGGCAAACAUUGAAUCACAGUUUUAAAUUUUAUGGGGCAAUCAUCAUGUCAAUUUGUAACAAAAAAUUACACAUUUCGCGUUUUCCAUUUAUCCACAUUUCGCGUUUUCCAUUUCUCUAAUCAUUACUACUAUAAAGUGACACAUAUUUUCCCAACAACUAGUCAACUACCUCGAGUAACUCUUACAAAAAUGAAAGAAAAUUCAGCAUACAAUGCGAAGAAAUUCAAGAAAAAAAAAUCUUAAAAUAGAACUAUAACAGAAACUUGGUAAUGACAUACUUCGCUUGUAUAUUGCUUCCUGCAGAUCAGCCACAGUAGCCUAAAAAACAAGACCACAGCACAAUUAGAACCAUACCAAUGUUCUUCUUUAAGACAUUAACACGAACACCAAACACAACCCAAAUCAAGAUUUGAACUCUAAACGAAAAACAAACAAGGAACCAAUCGAGGAAAAAACCUGAAACUUACAGAAUCACUGAGCUCAAGGCCACCCUUUAUGAGUUCUCUGCCGCUACGAGUCGUGACUACCACCUUCAUCUCUGUUCCAAGAUUAAAGAGUAACCCAGUUAUUUUUCUGCUCAAGAUUAUAGAUAUGGGCUCGGAUUUAGCCAGGAGGGGAAAUUUAUUUGAAGGUGAAGAAGUCCAACGAUGGGGGAACGGGUGACUAAUGGCGUGUAGCCGGGGUAGAUGGCCCAACCAUUUGCACCGAUAAACCACUUUACACUCUACUACGUUGACAAAUUAAAUUCACAUUCGUAUCAAUACUUCAAUUUAAUCGCAAUUAUAAAAUUAGUAUUUUUUUUUUCUUCAAACGUCAUAAUUGACUGGUAGAGAUUUUAAUCACAUAUUUUAUAAAAUUUACAACUUUUAAAUCACAUAUUUAAUCAAUUUAUAUCAAAAUCUACUUAAAAUUUGAUUUUAAUCUUGAUGAAAUAGAGACUUCAUAAGUUAUUCAAAACUAUGUUAUAUUGGGUGCGUUUGAUUGCAUGCACGGAAUUUGGAAGAAAAUAAAAUAUAUUACGAGCAAUUCAAUUGUUUAGAACUUAUUUGUAUGAUUUAGUUUUCAACCUAAAAAAUAAUAUAUUUGUCCAUUUUUCAUUAUUGAGGAUGAGAGAGAAGGGAUAGAUGAGAAGAGAAAGAAAGUAAAUUUCCUGAAAAAUAAAAUCAUAUUUCUCUAAACAAAAUAUUUUCUUUGAUUUUGAGGAAACAUGUUCACAUGAUCAAAAGUAGGAUAAUGUUUUCCAUAUGAAAAAUGUCAAUGAAACAGCAUAAAAGUAGAAAAUUAGGUGAAAAACACACUUAUCAUAAAAAAUACUGACAAUCAAACGCAUCAUUCAUUUCAAAAACUAUGUUAUAUUUAAAACUAACAAAGCAAUUAAAAAAUCAUUUCUAAUAUAUAAGUGAAUUUUCUAAUUUUAAAUAAUUCUUAUGUUAAUUAAUUAAGUUUUCAUUCUUAAAGUAUCGUAAUGAUUUUGAAAUUAAAUUCUAAUAAUUUUAAUUAUUCCAAUUCAAUAAUUAAAAAAAGUUAAUCUGAGUAUUAAUUUUUGUGAAAAUUUAUUUUAUAAGUUUUAAAUAAAUUUAAGAUGUUUUAUACGAUGUAAUGUUUUGAAUUAUUUAUGACAUUUUAAGUAAUUAGAAAAUUUAUCUUGAAUUUUGAUACUAUUAACAAAGGGUUAUAAUUUUCUUGGAUAAUUGUAGCUGCGUCCCCAAACAUUUCAAAACGUAGUAAAUUUUCUCCUAACCUUUUUAUUUUUUGCACCUUUCACCCCAAAUCUUUAAAAUGCGUAAGUCUGAAGCUCAAAUGGAGCGCACCCAUCUUUACAAACAUAUUGAACUCGAUUUUUAUUAUUUCACUUGAAUAUGGUUUCAACUUGAUUGAAGACUACAUAAUCUCUCAUAACAGAAUAACCCUAUCGCGAGACGUAGAUUCCUCUUUUCAUUUUCAACACAAUAUUCAUGAAAUUUCGAUUUAUCAUUGUUCUCGUCCGAGUCCGAACCACUGAGAAAGUUUAGCUCCUCCGAAAAUGCAUAUGAAGAACUAUUUGAUUAUGGGGCUUCUUCAUCCUUUAUUACAUUAUUCAUAUCCAUUUUGAUGCCUUCAGUUGUGUUACGUUCCAAUAGGAUAUUAUCAUCAUUAUAAACAUCAUAGUUUGCGCCAGUGAAAUCUAGAUCAUCAUCUAUCUGAACAUAUAAAAUUGUAACAACAAAUACAUAAAACGACUCCAAGCUCAAAAACAUUGUUGGAGAUUGAAGAGAACACUUAAAAACACUUACUUAGCUCAUACAUGUUCGCCUACUCAACUAGUAGAAUUUGUGUUUUUAGCAUCUAAAUAUAAUAUACUAAAUAUAAAAUAGAGGACUUUCUAUCUAGUCGACAGUAAAAUAUUUAUAACCAAAAGCAUCCAUUAUCCAAAUCCAUGACAACAUAGCAGCAGUAAUUAAAUGACGGUUGCAUCAUAUUGCUAGGGACAUAACAACAUUUCUAUAGAUCUUCAUGGAAUUUUUGAAAAUGACCAUACCCCUAAGAAUUGAUAUAAUUUGAUUGUUUUUAAUUUUUAUGGGACCAACUUGUUAUUAUUUUUAUUUUAUUCUGCCCUCGUUUGAUCCACAUUUUUUUUAAAUACAUUUUCUCUCUUUUCUUUUUAACACAUUUUUUAAUAAAAUAAUAUUACCAAAAAAAAAAUGGAGCUCAAACAGUCGCUACAUUAUUUAUUAUUUACUGCUAGAGUGUUUGUUGCUUGAUCAUGGGAAAAGAUUUUUUUUUUUUUUUUGUGUAGAAUUUAUUGUAUUAUUAAUGUGCUUUUUAGUUCUAGGAUUGGGUAAAAGGCGGGAUGAAUGAAUUAUUUCUACAAUAUUUGAGUUGCUUGGAAGUUUAUAUAAAUGUGAUUAAUGCAAAAUCAUGGAGGAUGCAAAAUCAUUUGAAACUCCAAAUGGGUAACCUCAAUUUUUGAUACAAAUAAAUGGAGGAUGCAAAAUCAUUAAAACUCCAAAUGGAUAACACCACAAUUAACUUUAAGUUGGAUAAAUUGAUGCAUAAUUUAUAUUCUAAAACUAAUAUUUUACGUGCAAAAUAUAAAAAAUUUUUUUUUUUUUUUGUGUAGAAUUUAUUGUAUUAUUAAUGUGCUUUUUAGUUCUAGGAUUGGGUAAAAGGCGGGAUGAAUGAAUUAUUUCUACAAUAUUUGAGUUGCUUGGAAGUUUAUAUAAAUGUGAUUAAUGCAAAAUCAUGGAGGAUGCAAAAUCAUUUGAAACUCCAAAUGGGUAACCUCAAUUUUUGAUACAAAUAAAUGGAGGAUGCAAAAUCAUUAAAACUCCAAAUGGAUAACACCACAAUUAACUUUAAGUUGGAUAAAUUGAUGCAUAAUUUAUAUUCUAAAACUAAUAUUUUACGUGCAAAAUAUCGUAAAGAGUCUCAACUUGUCCAAACCAAGAUAUUUGCAUUAGAAUACGAUCAAAUCGUAAAUUUUUGAAACAUAGGGAGAAAAAAAAGAGAUGAAAUGAAACAAGGUAUGCAAAUGCAAAUCUCCUUAAGAUAGAUUUCGCCAUUUACACUAGUGCUAACAAUAUCAAAUGGACGUCUAUCUCUCAAAAUACAAUAUUUUUUCCAAAAUUAAUAUAAUACAAUAUUAAUUUUGUCGGGUGAACCAAAGUAUUGAAAAUAUUAUUCACAAAUGGAAUAGACAAGAAUUAAAAUUGCCUGGAAUAAAUUUUGAUUUGAAACUAAUUAGAACGGAAUUUAAUUUCAGCAAAAAAAUACAAUAGAAUAUUUUGAAGAGACGAAAGAAUUUAGAUUUUUUUUUAUUUGAUUUGGUGUAGGAAAUGUGGAAUUAGGUUCCCUAUUUAUAGAUUUUCAAGUGAUAUUUUGGAAUGGUUGCAUGUUUUGACAUAAACUAUUGUAGACCAUCAGAUCACAUAGUUUCACAUUUAUUGCAAAGAUACAGUAAUUUAUUUCCCACGCUAUUCAAUUGAUACAAAUUGAACUUCGUAAUAAACUCAUUAUUUCAUGUUUCAUUCUAGAAAUCAUAUGUAAACAAGACACCAAAAUACACCAUGCACUUGUAAUUUUAACGCAAUCAGAUAUUUUUAUCACACUGUACAUUUAUAAUACGUGAAUAUGAUUAAUGUAAUAUCAUCCGUCCAUCCAAAUUAGUAACUUUUACUUCUGCAAAUUCUAUAUGCAAAAUCAAUUUUUACAUAAAAUUUAACAGAAUAUAAUCAUGAAAAAAAUUCCCUUGCCAAUUUCUAAUAUGAAAUUAGAAGAAAUGUGAAAAGGAAGAGAAUGAAUACAAAUAAUUAAAUAAAUAUGAAAUAUGUUUUAAGAUUGUUGGAGAAAUUGGUGCAUAAUUUAUAUUCGACAACCAACCUUUACGUGCAAAAUAUCAUAUAGAAUUUUGACAUCUCGAAAUCAAGAUACGUGCAUGAAAGUACAAUGAAAUUGUGAGGUCUGUGACUUACUGAAACAUAGAAAAUUGAAGGAGAUGAAAUGAAAUAAGAUAUGCGAAUGCAAAUUUCCUUCAGAAAGAUUUCACUCCUGCACUGAUGCUAACAUGAUCAAAUAUACAUCUAUCUCACAAGAUACAAUACUUCUUCCAAAAUUAAUAUAUCACAAUAUUAAUUUCUUAGGUGAACCAAAGUUUUAAUAGCAUUCUCACAAAUUGAAUAAAUAUGAACUAAAAUUGUUUGGAUGAAAUUUAUUUAUGAAAAUAAUUCUAACGAAAUUUAAUUUCAACAAAAUAAAAAUAACAGAAUAUUUUGAAGAGAUAAGAAAAUUUAGAAAUCAAUUUUUCUUGAUUUGAUUUGGUGUAAGAAAUUUGAAAUUAGAUGUCACUUUUUAUAAAUUUUCAAAUGUCUUUUCAAAUUGUUGUAUCUUUUGACAUAAAUUAGCGUGGAACAUUAGAUUAUACCUUUUCAUAGUUAAUUGUCUAGAUUGCACUAUAUCAAAAAUAAAUUUUCAUAAUGUAACUUUCUGAAUAUUCACAAUCACUGCAAAAUAACCUGACUCUUUGACAUGCACCAUUUUGCAUUUGAAGUGUCACGACUAAUCAUUGCACUAGUUCGAGACUUUUCCAAUUUACAAAUAUAAAAUUAUCCUUUGAAUUCCAACAAAAGAUUAUAUAAAUACCAGGUCCAAGUUAAACUACAAAGUAGAGCAUAUUACUUGGUAAUUAUCGCUCAACGUUAGAUGUGAUGGCAUAAUCGACACUUGUGGGGACAACCUUCCUUGUUGUAAAAAAUGAUGAAAUUUUAUAGGUUGGAACGGGGUGGAGACGAAAGCGAUUUGGGGUUCUAGAAGGGAUGAUCGAUUUGUAGAGGAGCACUUGAAGAAGGAAGAACUCAUCUGAAAUUUUGGGAAAGAUUGAAUUUUAGGUUUGUCUUGAAAGUUUUGGGGAAAUUUUGAUAUUAGUUGGGAACUGAUAUGGGAGAGUGAUCUGGGUUUCAUACAAACACACACACACAUGUAUAUACAAGUGUAAAAUACAUGUUUCAUUAACACACUUUUGUCCAUGCCAUUAGCAACUUCAUGAUUUGACAUCCAUUAAUGGCAAUAAUGUGCCGCAAACGAUUUCAUUUGCCACGUUUGGCGUUCCUUCACUUUUAAAAAGUAUUGUUGCGAGAUUGAUGGAUGGGAUGACAUGUCAAAGACUUCAUUGACUGAUGGAAAAAAAUUUUAAAAGUUAAAUAAUCCACUGAAAACUUUAUGUAAAUCCCAAUGAUCAUUCAAAAUUUUAACCCUGUUUUUGCUUAUAUUCAUAGGGUAAUAAUGUUUAUUAGCAUAGUUUGUGAACUUAUAUAUCGACAAAUUAAUAACAUAGCUUAAAUAAUAAAAGAGUAAAGAUAUAUAUCUCCAACUUGCAUUCAUUACACCUACAUCCAUUUCACAUUAGGCAUAUGCAUGCUCUAAUUGAAAUAUUUGGGGAUGAUUGCGUACUAUAGUGUUCUUAACGGCUGUAGUUUCUACUCCUGCUAAUAGACUAGCGCAUUUCUGAAACUCUAGAAAUUUUUACUUGUUGGUGUCAAUUAAGCAAUCUGUGGACUUUUGUAGUUCUCCACAUUGCUUUUGAACUAAUAGUUUUCAUGUUACGUUAAUUUGAGAUUGCUCGACUUCCUUGUGUAAAAAUGAAAUAAAUCAAUCAAUCAAAUUUCGACAAGCUUCAUGAAUUGCUUCUCUCAAAGUUGAACUCCCAUCUAUCCAUAUUUUCAUUCCCAUUCCAAUAAGAAUGAGUACUAUGAAUCUCAUUCAAACAGGCAUGAAGACAACGUCUAUAAGCAGCGGGUGGUGUAGCGAAAUUGAUUGCAAAAGAGCGAAAAUCGAUCACAUUAAAACUACCUUCUGGGGAGGUCCAUUUGAUAUUAAAAAAACUGUUCAGCAACAAUCAGACAAGUUGAGAAUGUUGGGUUGAACCAAAAAAUUUUGUGUAGAGCCGAAUCUAAGCAUUAACUAGGUAAGCAUCCUGUAGUAAUAUGUUCAAUCCCCUUCAUUUCGAUAGUUGUUUCUAUUUCUACAUCUCUUUCUUCCUCACUUUCCACCUUUUCUUCUCGAAAGAAUCCGCAUAUGUUUGGUAAAGAAAAUAACCUUCUCCUAUGAAAAUAAUAAAAAAUGGAAAGUGUUUAAUUGGAACAUGAAAACGUGACUAAAUGGUUUUAGUUACUCUUCGGGACACAGUGAAAUGAUACAAGAAGAAAGAGUUUAUUGCUCCUUUAUAUUCCUUUUUUUUUUCAAUUACUUCAAUACACUAAGAUCGUGUCUUAUCCAUUUGUAGGUGGAGCUUCCAUAUAAGCUAGGUCUGGAGUUAAUUUAUGAGCAUCAAGGUUCACACGAUUAAUGAUAUCAGCAGUCUACUUUCUUCCCUAUGAGUUCUAGUCUCAGUAAGAAUGUCAAUUCUUACUAUUUAUAUAUUAUGAUAUGAAUAUACAAUACCAAUUCGUUAUGUGCAUUAAGAUACGAAGGCUUCUUAUUCACUUGGAAAAUAAAACAUUACAUACUAAUGGAUUCGGGUCCAUAACUGCGAGUUCCAAUGCAAGAGAUUUUGUAGCACUUACUAAUGAGGCCUUAUCAAUUAGUAUUGACUGAUUAAUAUUUAUUUUCCAAUACAGAUAAAAUUUUAUCAUUUUUCACUGCAAUUUCCUCACAGACUUCAACUCAAUUACCUGGUUACAAAACAAGCUUGAAAAAUGUGGCAAAAGCCAAAAAAUUAACAACACAUUAAACUUGAAUAUAUUUUUUUCUUAACCUAAGGUCACAAAAAAGAUCAUUAUAUACUAGUAAAAGCAAGCAGGUACAACAAAAAUCGAAUGUAGAAUGAUAAUAAAUGGCAUACUCAUAAGUCACGAUGGUGCCAAUUAAAUACACAGUUACAAUAAUACAAGCACUUCAUAUAACUCUCCGUCUCCCUAUUAGUGCAACAUCGCUUUGAAAUGUUAAACGGACAAUUUCUCUCACCAAAAAUAUAAUUUUACUUCAUAUUUUCAACUUUCAAAAGGUAUAUGUUCGCAAUAACAAUGAGAUGUAAGUAAUUUGCAAAAUUAAAAUGCUUAAGAACCAGGAUAUACAUUUUCAAGAGCAAAAGUUGAAGAUGGAGAAAUAACGAUAAGCCCUUGAAUAGGUAAUCAAAGGUUAUCAGGCAACAGAGGAAGAAAGAGGGAAAAGAAACCUUACCGAGGCCUAUCAAGAAUAUCUCGCAUUUAACUUUCAAUGAAAUGUGACCACUACACCAGAAAAAUGGAAAAAUAAUAUACCACCAUAAUAACAAAGGAUUACACCAUGCUUAUAUGAUUCUAGAUGUCUUGAAUCCAUUAGAGAUACAAAAACACUUAAUUGACAGAGUAUUUGACUAAUAUUAUUGAGACAUCAACAAAUCCCAACUAGCUCAGAAGUGUAAACCAAUCAAUUAAAAUCCAAAACAUUGACAUACGAUAAAACUUUACCGUAAGUUAAUGCUAGAAGGUAGAAAGCAUGUGUAGCUAAAAGGUAUAAUGAAAUUUGCUAGUUGGGUUUUCUUUUCUUUCUUUUUUUGGAGCCUUUUACCAUGAACAUGAAUAGUUCAUGGCAAUAAAGUCACUGUUCUCACACCAAAAGUUGAUCCUGUCACCUAACUUCUUUCAUUCAAUGAUUCUUAUAAGAAUUAAAGCUCGUGGAUGUAUGUUUAUUCAGCAUUCAGAAAAAAAGACGGACAAUAAUCGAACAACGACUAAUGAUCAGCCACUAAUACAAGCUCUAUGCCCAAAAUUUAAGCAUUUACUAUCUACAGGUAGGAAAUAUUUGAAAAAGAGUGCUAUAGGGCAGGGAUCGAUCACAUACCUUAAAUGGAUAGCUGUGAAUAUUAUCCGAAAUGGAGACUAACAUAAUCUAUCAAAAGCACUUUUCUUCAUCAAAAUUUAGAUGAACUCCAGCCGACACCACACUUCUUUUUCAGAUUUUUCACGUCUCUUCAAAGUUGAAUUGAAGUCCAUUAUACCAAAUCGAAGACAAAGAGAUCCUAAACUUUCAGUGAUAAUAUUUGCAGCGAAUAAAGUUUCAAAUCAAUAAAUUUUUUGGAGUAAACUAAGGUAAGAAUCUAAAAUUAAAUGCGUUUCGUAACAUCAUACAAACGUAAAAUUGUGUAAUUGUUAUGUUUAGAUAUUAUAAACAAUUGCUUUAUUAUUGUGGUUGGUUAUUCUCUUUGCUAAUCAGCAUUCCUUUUUUAAGAUAUGAUGAUCAUGAAAUCUUAUUGGACAUCAUUAUAUUUUUUGGGUCUUAUGUCUAGUUUAGUAAACUUGUAUUGUAGCAUUAUUGUAUCAUCAUUAGCCUAAAAAAUUUGAAUAAAUUUUCUUUUAAGAAAAACUAUGUUUUAGUUUAUUGUGAUUUCUUUUUUAUUUAGUUAGUAUUUAAAUUUAUAGCAGAUAUAUUUAGCUCCUGUUUGAGCCAUAUUUUUCAUAUCAUCAUAAUGAGAAAAUUGAACGUUAGAGAAGAGGUUGGGUCCCACACAUGAAAUAGUGGGUCAACAAAGGCGACUGGACUUGUGGGAUAAUAGUCCAAAUUUUCAUUUUUUGUCCCAAAAGUUUGGUUCAAAUAGGGACUUAGUUUAUUUUAGAUUUAUUGCUAGUAAGACAUAAAUAUAUAUUAAAUUCAAUAAAUUAAUGAUAUAAAAAUAGACAGGCAAAAAAAUAUGGCGAAACCAACGGUUUGAAACCGAACCAAGCCGUUAGGUUUAGAUUUGAGUUUUUUUCAAAUGGUUCAAAAUGACUUGGUUUAGGUUUGGAUUUUUCUCAAACCGAUUUAAACGAUUUGGUUUGAAAAUUUGUCAAAAAUCGGUAAAAUCGGACCACUUACACCCCUACUUCUUACAGGUAAUAAAAAAAUAGGAUACAUGUCAAUAAAUAAGGCAACAUUGGAAUUCUUAGAAAAUGGAGGAAAAUUCACCACUUCUUACUUGUUUUUCCCCCAAAAUAGAAUACGCUUACUCGUUUUCCCCCAAAAUAGAAGAUGACCAAAAACCCGUCAUUGCCAUUUCCGACCUAAAGCCAACCUUGAAAAAUCAAUCAGGAAGAAGCCCGUAGUCGAUUCCGAAACUCCGGCCGACGGCAUUAUCUAUGUAGAUAAUUUCUUGUUUAUUUAGUUAGCGAAUUAGGUUUACUUUCCUGAUUCUUCACAGCCACUGCCACUGCCACUGCCACUGCAUUAUUUCUUUGGAUUUUCAUUAUACAAAGUAAUAUUUUGAGUUUCAUCUCAAUUUCUUGAUCUAAAUCAUCAAUUUUGUUGAUAAAAAUCAAUUCUUAAUACCUGUAAAUAAGAGCAAAAGGAUUUUGGGUUCUUUGAUUAUCUCUCAACAUUCAAUUAAAAUCAAUGAGUUUCCCUAUUUUUCAGACUUCUGCCUCCUACUGUGUUAAAACACAGUGAAAAAUUGCAGACAAUAAAAUAAGGGUAAUUUAGUGCAGCAUUGCAAUCUGAUUUAUACAGUAUUUUUCUAAAAUAAAACAUUGAGCAGUAUUAUUGGAUUUUUUUAAACCACGCAAAACGUUAGUUAUUCAAUAAAAAGUAACACAUAGUGAAUUUCUGAGCUUGUUAUGAUUGGUUGAUUAUUACCUUUUCAUGUGUCGCUGCAGAAUAACUUAUGGAAAACGUGAUUGAUGAUUGUUCGGUGGAAUCCGGGGAUGAGAAUGAUACGAAGAAUAUGAACAAAGUGGACGACAAAAUGUUAGAAGAAGAUGAUCCGAUUGUGCCCGAGGUGGGUAUGAUUUUUAGCAGUGAAAAAGAAUGUGGGAGUUCUACAAAAGAUAUGCAUAUAGCGUAGGUUUUCCAAUUAGGAAAAUGAAUUCAAAAAAGGGGGAUAAUGGUGUAUUAAGAUUUGUGACCUUCACUUGUAGUCGUGAAGGAAAAAAUAGGAGUAGUAAAAGCUGUUCUUUAAAGCUGCAACCGACAAUCCAAAUAGAUUGUAAGGCUAGGAUCUCAACAUCUUCAGAUACUCAUGGAUCGGGGAGAAUUAACACAGCUAUCCUCGAACACAAUCACAAAACAAGUCCUUCGGAGUCGAGGUUGUAUCGAUGCAAUAAAGAGUUGAGUACACAUGUGAAACGGAAGCUUGAAGUGAAUGAUUGGCAGGAAUUUCAUUGCAUAAAAGCUACAACUUUGCAGUUGUUGAAGCAGGUGGAUACGAGAAGAUGACUUGCAUUGAAAAAGAUUGCUGGAAUUAUAUCGAAAAAGUACGACGACUAAGACUUGGAGAAGGAGAUGCUGCAGCAUUACAAUCUUAUUUCUCAAAUAUGCAAGCACAUUGUUCAGGAUUUUUCUUCAGUAUGUAUUUGGAUGAUGAAUCAAGGCUGAAAAAUGUAUUCUGGGCAGAUAAUAGGUGCAAACAAGCAUAUAAAGAGUUCAACGAUGUGGUUACAUUUGACACCACGUACCUCACUAACAAAUACGACAUGCCGUUUGCCCCAUUCGUUGGCGUCAAUCAUCAUGGGUAAUCAAUAUUGCUUGAAUUUGGUUUGGUGUCAAAUGAAGAAACAUAUAUAUUUGUGUGGUUGUUCAGUACGUGGCUUAAGUACAUGCAUGGUUAAGCUCCUGUCAGAAUAAUAACCGAUCAAGAUAGAGCUAUGCAAAAUGCAAUUCGAACUGUUUUUCCAAAUAUGCGACAUAUAUGGUGUCUAUGGUACAUUUUGAAGAAGUUGCCAAAAAAGUUUGGCUACCAUAUAAAUAAGGGCCAGAUUUUUUCUACCAUACGUGGAUUGGUUUAUGAUUCGCAAUAUAUUAAAUAAUUUGAGGUAGGAUGGAGCGUUAUGAUUGAUGAGUAUGAAUUGUAUGACAAUGAUUGGUUAUUAGGACUAUACGAGAACAGAAGUCGUUGGGUUCCUUACUUUUUGAACACUAGUUCCUGGGUGUGGAUGUCAACAACUCAAAGGAACAAGAGUAUGAAUGCAUUUUUUGAUGGGUACGUACACUCGAAGACGUCUCUGAAAUAGUUUGUGGAACAGUAUAAACGAGCCCUGAACAAUAAGGUUGAGAAGGAGUUCCAAGCAGAUUUUAAAUCAUAUUCGCAAAUGUUACCAUGUGCAACGACUUUCGAAAUAGAGAAGCAAUUCCAAUUUGUCUACACCAUCGCAAAAUUUAAAGAGGUUCAAGCUAAAUUCACAACAAAGAUGUAUUGCGACGUCAUAUUAGCAUCUGAGACAUGUUUCAGGAUGACAUACGAGGACAUGUUUCAGGAUGACAUACGAGGACAUGUUUCAGGAUGACAUACGAGGACAUGUUUCAGGAUGACAUACGAGGACAUGUUUCAGGAUGACAUACGAGGACAUGUUUCAGGAUGACAUACGAGGACAUGUUUCAGGAUGACAUACGAGGACAUGUUUCAGGAUGACAUACGAGGACAUGUUUCAGGAUGACAUACGAGGUACGGGAGGUUGUUGUAUUAGGUGAAGCAAGGAAGAAAUUCAUUUUCUGUUUCAUUAGAGAAAGAGAAUAGUGAAUCUUCUUGUAGCUACCACUUGUUCGAAUUUCGGGAAAUCAUUUGUAGGCUUGCAAUUGCAGUUCUUACCCGCACUGACAUCAUAGUACUGCCAAAGAGGUAUAUACUGCAACGUUGGAGGAGAGAUGUUAUUAGAGCACAUACCAAGGUUGCAAUAAACUACGAUGGGUUGGUGAGUACUCCUGGACAGUUGAGAUACGACAAUUUGUGUCAAUCUUUCACUGUAGUAGAAGACCUUGCUGUAGAUAGCGAAGAAAGAUGUCUGUGAUAAUGGAUUGGAUUAAAGCACAACGUAAUGAUCUGAUGUUGACACGAUCGAUCAAUGGAAACAAUGUCAUCCCACAGCAAACUACUCAAUUUCAAUCAACAGGUAUUGCAAACGGGAGCAUACGUGAUCUAAUUUCCUCGAAAACAAAAGGUGUCCCUAAGAAACUCAUAAAGGAAAAGCCCACUCGAAUCAAAACCAAAGACAGCUAAGGUACGUUCCCUUAUUUAAAUCACAUGUACGAUUAUUGCUUCAGAAUUGAAAGUGUAAGAAUUUUUUGCUUCACAUGCAGGCUACAUCGACAUCAAUAACAGGAAAUAGACCGAUAGCACAGCGUUCUAAAUUGUCAGGCGAUCCUAAUCAUAUGCAAGCUGUAUUCCUUGAAGAAUAAUAUUCAAUGCCGACAACAUUUUCAUAUUCAGAACUCUUAGUGGUUAGUAUUUUAAGUUCGAUCGUAGGACUUCUUUCAUGUCAUACUAAUACUAAGUAAUUCUUCGAUAUAGGGUGGUAGUGGAAGUCAAGAAUUGACACAACAAUUACUGGAUUCAAAUUUGACUCCGCCAUCAUCAACUUCGGUAUUCAAUUCGCAAAGUACAUGAAAUGGUUACAUAUAGAAAUCUCGCCAAUUUUAUUUGCAUGUGCACAUAGUAAUAUGCAUAUUGCAAAAUGGAUCAUGUGGCAGCCUAUUAUUACCGAUAGUUCUAGGAUGAAUUUGGCAGAGGAUUGUGACUGGUGAUUUUAGCAGUAUGAAGAAGUUGAUACAGUGGCUGGUUAUCAUUAAGGGAAAUUAAAUACAAUUUCAUUUUGUUGGUUCACUGCAAAACUUACAUUUUUUUGUCCAGCAGUAAAAAUACAUAUGUUCCAUUUUGUUGGUUCAUUGUAAAUACUCAUUUUCACCAACGCUCACUACAAAACUUAUAUUUUUUGUCCAGCAGUGAAAAUACAUAUGUUCCAUUUUGUUAGUUCACUAUAAAUACUCAUGUUCACCAAUGUUCGCUAUAAAACUUAUAUUUUUUUAUCCAACAGUAAAAAUACAUAUGUUUCCAUUUUGUUGGUUUUCUGUAAAAUACUCAUCUUCACCAAUGUUCAUUCAUUCAAAGUAGAUGCUUCAUAAACCACGCUUUUCAUUUAUGAACAUUGCACGGGACAAAAUGGAUAACACAAGCGGUAGAUAAAAGUCAUAUUUGUGCAUCCAUUGAUUUUACUACAAGCCAUACUGAUACAUUCAAACGUAAAAACAAACUGCCAACUACUACGAGCAACUUCUCAACCUGGCCCUUCCCCUUAGCAUUCCCUUCCUCCAUUGAUUUCCCUUUCACGAUUGUUAUGUUCAUGUGCAACGAGAUUUAGAUCUCGUUAUCAUCCUUUAACUGCAGAUUGGAACACUUGUACCAUUUCGGGCAUUGUCUCCACUUGACUCGCCGUCUUUUACCCAUUCCCAGAAGUCGCAUUUCUCGCUGCAGCACUUGAAUAGUUUUCCUUUGUUCUCAGUCUCCCUCUUGAACUGAAAACACUUCUGGAAUCUAGUCUUACAAUUCGGGCAUUGGCGUCUCCUCCUACACUGAUUCCAGAAUUUUUUCCUUUCCUUCCCUUUACAACCAUCACAAAUUCCAGAAUUUUUUCUUGCUAUUGUACCAUGGAAUCAACAACAAAUAAUCAAUCCUAAAUAAAGAAGUUAGUGUUGAUUCAACGAAAACAGAAUCAGAGAUCACGAAUUGAUGCAGGAAAAAUUAAUUGUGGAUUAAACCACUUGAUGCUUACACCCAAUCAGAGAUCACGAAUAAUGCUGGUUUCCAGAUGAGGACUCCAGUGUGACUGCAAGAGAAGAGACGACGACGAGCUCACUACGAUCGGAAGUCGGGGCCGAAUGGUUUUGGGGUGCUGCGUAUUUUUUUGUUAUGGGUAACGAGAUGGACACGGUUAUACUAUCAUCGUGGUCGAUGGUCGGAUAUGGAGAGAUGACAAGUAGCGGCGAUCAACAAGAUUUAGUGCUUCGGUGAUGGGUAGGGUUUUAGGGAAGAAUAAUGAGAGACAGCGAGCCGUUUUUUUUAUUUCCUUUAUAUUUGGGGUUUUUUUUAAUACUUGUAGAAGACCUGUGAGACUUUUAACCUGGUAGAGUAGCGCGAUUGCUAUAUCUUUAUCUAUGUCAGCAAAUAUUGAAGUGAAUAUAAUUCAUGUAUUCUCAAUCAUCAUAUAUCCGUAUGGAAGUGUCAUAACACACUAAUAAUCUGGAAAACCACAACAUUGUGCAAUGAUUACUAGCUAAUAUAAGUCGGAACAAAUCAUUAUUACAACAUUCACCAUAUUAUUGUCGAUAUGUGAUCAUUAAAUUUACAUCCGAUUAUUUCCGCCCAAAUUAAACCACCACUGAAAAAGCUCUUACUUGAACAUCAAAAAUGGGAGAAACUAACAUGCAUUCUGCUAUUUCUGAUUUGAACCAAGUCAUUAUCAAUCUUGGCUAGAGACAGUUGAAGGGAAACUAAUCCAUUGUCAACUAUCACGAACUAACUGCUAUUAACUAUAGAAAGUAGAAGGCGAAGACCGAUGAUUGAACAGAGUAAAUUGUUAGGCAGAUUUGCUUUUGUUUCCAUUUCCAAUUUUGAAAAAGACGGUCAUUUUGGAAAUGCAAAAACGAAUGUGUUCGAUACAUUGGUCCAAUUCAAUCUCUAAUUUUCAAAAAUCAUGCCCUGAAUCUUUUCUCUCUCCCUCCAACAGCUAUGAAGCCAUGAUCUCAACCUACCAAACCUAACAUCCCGCAGCAACAACUCCAAUAAGAAUCAACGGCAGCUAAUAUAUUUACAUACCAAGUAUAGAUAAAUAAAAAGUUCUAGCAUGUUUUUUCUUGUACCUUUUGGUAAAUGAAACAAAAAAUGAAGUGAAAACAAACUAGGCAGCCAUACUACAAAUUACAGCUUGCAAUUUGCCUACUGGAGCACCAUCUUUGAAAGUCAUAAUUAUCCAUGGUAGGAUUAAAUGGGAUAGUUCUAAUGAAAGGUUGUAAAACUGCAUUUCAAUCCACAAAUAUUCUUAACGUUUUAUAAAGAAAAUCCAAUAAGAACAUAACACAACUUUAAAGUAAAUUAGGCAAUCUGUCAGCAAAUUAUAAGAGAGUAUGCAUAUCUUGUCAAAAUUUAGAAUUAAAAGGCAUCAAAUUCAAGUGAAAUUAUCUUCUUAUGUAAAGAAAAUCAUAAUCAGGCUAAGCAUAUCCUUUUGAUUUUUAGUAAGGCAUUUCCCCAUCCACUUUACAGUGGCUGUAGGCCCAAAAUCUGUGUGGGAGGGGUGGCCAAGAAAUUUUUUUUUUUUUUUUUUUUAUAAGUUGAACAAUGCUAGACCCAGUUAUCGAAGAGCAGCCUACAACUCUCGAGCCCAAAUCCAAUCCCCUUGAUAUAUCCAUAAUCCAAUAUCCAUUUACCAAAAAUUCCCAAAUCAAAAUCCCAUUUAUCCCGAACCCUCGUCAGAGUCGUCUCCAUUAGGGCUGGGAAAAUCUCCCGAACCGAACCAAACUCGACGGUUCUUGUCAAAUUAAAUACCCUAACGGGUAUCUGAAUUGAGAACCGACGGGUACGGUUCGGUUCUCGGUUCUAGGUCAAGAACCGAAUCUUUCUUUUUUUUUAAUAUUGAAUAAAUCAAAUUAUUUUAAUUUUAAUUUUUUCUAAACAAAUUAACAAUUCUUAAAUCCAAAUUUUUGGCCCAAUAAUUUGUUUCAUUUCUAAUUUUUUAAUUUUGGCCCAAUUACCAUUUUAUUGUUUCAUUUCUUAGCCCAACAAGAUCUAACCCACUAAAUAACCUUAAACACCUACACUGAAGUGCAUAACGCUGUCUCGACUCUUGUAACCUCGUUGACAUUUCAAAACCUAUACAAUUGCCGGCCGAUGUUGUGACCUCCGAUCGAAGCUAUGACCUCCACGGACCAAAGCUUUGACCAUAGCGAUCAUUUGACCAAAGUAAUCUACCAGUCUCUGACAUUCCAAAACCUUUGAAUGUAUCAUUAGUUGUAUUUAUAUAAUGUUAUUAUAAAUGUUAAAAAAUUUAAUUAUAGUACAAAACUGAACGGAACCGAACCGAACCCGAACGGUUCCAUAAUUAUAUUUGGACCCGACAGUUCCAUUAACUAGAUACCCGAAAAUUUUUGUUCAGUUCGGUUCUCUUUAGAACCGAACCGAUCCGCGCCCCACCUCUAGUCUCCGUUGCUUCCUUCUCUCUUCUCGACUUCUCCUUCCAGAUUUCCUCUUCGUCAAAGUCUCGGACACCGGUUCCACAGUUGGCUAUUAGUAUAGUAUGUUACUCUGUUACAUUAUGAAUUUCAUUUGAGUUAUUUGAUUACAUUUGGUACACCCACUCUUGUCUGUUCAUCGGUUUUCCCGUUUUCAGUUUCUGCACAAUACAUUGCUGUUCAACGUGUUCAUUUAUGGCUUUUACUUUACUUUUAUUUAUUAUAAUUUUGCUGACUUGAUUUUAAUUGAUAAAUGCUAUUUUUCUAUUACACCAAAGAAUAUUUUAUUCAAUAUCAAGAAAAAUGUUUUAGGCAGUCUAAUAAUUGGAAAUUGGAAUAAUUAUGGAUAAUGGACCAGAAAUGUAAAAUAUAAAUUUUGCUGGGUUCUCUAUAAUCUAUUUUUUGCAUUACUCAACAGGACAAGCAAAUCAAAUGGGAAUUUUGGUUGGUUGGAGUAGAAAAGACCUGACCUGAGUAAAGUUAGGCUUAAAACAUUAAAAUUGAAACCUAAUGGAAUAUUGGAAUUUGAUGUAAACAAUAUUAAAAUUUCAACGAGAAUAGCCCCACCAAUUGAAACCCUGAUUACAGCACAAAGUGGCAGAGCAUAGAAAAGUGUAUCGGUGUUUGAUGUUAAAUUUCAUAUUUGUAUUGGUGUUUGAUAUUAAAUUUUUGUUUCAGACUUGUGAGUUGUGACGGUGAAAUUCUCGAGGGUGUAAUUCUAGAGUUUUCAUCGAAAUUACUUCUAAGGUAAACAAUGGCUUGCCCUAACUUGUUAUUGAAGAUAUUAGAAAUGUUUGAAAUCUUGUUGGCUUAUGUAAUUGCGUCCUGUCAGCUCAUAUAUUUGAUUAUUAUAUGAUCAACAAUUGCACAGGCACAUGUAACAAGGGAUAGGACCUAAUUUCCGCAUUCUAAUUUGCAUCAAACCGAAAAAAGAAACAACAAAAACCCAAGACAAAAACUUAUAACCCAUUAUUAUCCCAGCCCAAUUCCUCAAAUCCAAACCUAUACAUUUCAUCGUCACCACCUCUCUCUAGUAUCGCUCCAGUCAUCGACGUCUCUGGCUAUAAUUGGCUCCUGCUCUCACUGCUCCGGUCAAUCACACCUAUAAAACUUCAUUUUGCAAAGGAUUUUUGUUGUCGUUUGGCUUCAUUUUCUACCGUUGUUUGAUUUUAACCCUAACAACUGCUCUCCAGACCCUUCUCCAUUCUAUUGCAAUAUGCUACUUUCCUCUGAUUAUCUUCAUAUUGAUGUCGUCUAUAGUAACAUUCAAAUCGUGAUAUAGUUUUCAUUGUUCUUAGAUUUUCCAUUGUAAUUUUUACAUGGAUGAUUUUCAUGGCGGGUGAACAAAUCUGUAAUUUUUUUUAAUUAUUAUUAUUUUUUUUUUUUGUAGUGCGAAUCGUCUUUUGUUCUUUGCUUAGGAUUUAUACAUGUUUUGAUUUUUUUUGGUUCAAUUUAGAUGUUCAAAUUGAUUAUUUUAGUUUUCUUUUCCAUGUCUCAACUCAUGAAUUAUGCUUUGCUCUUUUAAGGUUUCUAUUGUGCUCAUUUUUAGUUUCGUCACGAAGCUCAUACAAACCUUCCUUUUCUCAAAAUGGUCAGAGACUCGAAGUCUCUUUAGAUUUUGUUCUUUGUGGCUUCAAUUUAUUUUUCCUUAGGUCUCAUGAGUCCGCACUUUAUGUUCAUGAAAUUUUUAACAUUUUUAUAUUUCUGUCUCUAUUGUGUGCUCUUGUUCAGAAUUCCCAACAGAUCUUUCAUGGAUAUAGGGAUUGUGUGGAUGGAAGAAUUCUAACGGGUUUCUGAUUUUAUGAUUUUAUUCAUAUAGGAUUUGACUGUUAUGGGUUUUCAGUAUGUUCCUCUAUAGAUAUGUAUAGUUUCAAUAAAGUUUACUAGAAGAGUUAUGAUGUGAGGGUUUUAUGUGCCUUCAAUUUGGAUUUGCCUGGUUUUGAUUUGUUAAUUUGUUGAUUUUCUAGGUUUCUAUUCUAUGGAACAGUCUGUAAUCUUCAUAGGGUUGAUAAUCCGAAUCAAUUUACAAUUGUACAUGAGGCAUGUGUAUUUUUAUUUUCACAUAUUUUUCUUUUCCUUGUUUUCGAGUAAAAGUAUAUUUGUAGGAAUUUGUGUUGAGAAUGUGAUUGAAUGUACAGGAGAUGCUUUAGAAUUAAUAUUCCGAUAUAUUUGUAGGUAUUUGUCUUGAGAAUGCAGUUGAAUGUAUAGGAGAUGCUUUAGAAUUAAUAUUUCGAUAGGCAAGUUAUGAUGAUUUAGCUUGCUUCCAACAAAGUAUUUAUGAUACUGGCCAAUUUCCAUCGUUUAUGCAAAAAUAUGAGAUAUUAGCCUAGACACUCUUGAAUAGGAUUAAUGAAGGAAAAUUCAAAACUAUGCCAACCAAAGAGAAUAUCAGUCUAAACUUUUAAUAAGUAAAAGUUAAACUUUUUGUUUCCGGCUAUUUUUUUCCUUAAGUUUUUGCUUUAUUUGAUCAUGAAGCAGCUUUACUUCUCCAUUUUUUGUAAGUAAAAGUUAAACUUUUUGUUUCCGGCUAUUUUUUUCCUUAAGUUUUUGCUUUAUUUGAUCAUGAAACAGCUUUUCUUGCUCCAUUUUUUGGUUCUCUUAAGAAAUUUACUUAUUAUAGCUUCCUUAUUAUUUUUAAAUUUUUUUUUACUUUAAAGUAAGCCUUUAAACUCAGGAAACAUGCUCCUUCCAUUAAAACUUCCCUACAUGUAACAAUCGAUCGUACAAAAUACUUAUAGCCACCAAUAAAUUUCAACCUCUUAACAAAAUUUCAUAAAAAGGGAAAAAUGGUUACAGAUUAGAGCAGAAGAGUAGUAGAAAAGCAAUUGAAUUAAUAAUAGAAUUAGCUGCACAAUUUUUUUCAUUGCCAAGAACUUAAUUGUGAAGCCCGAACGAACAGCUGAAGAAGAAAAUGAGAACCCAAACUAAAUGCAUACACCCACUGGGAUUAAGCAGUAUUAUUAAUUAUUUGGAAGCAAAUCAAGAAAAUUGCAAAUUAAUUGAAAAGGCAAUAGAAAAGCUGUAUUACUAAAAAGUGGUAGAAAAAUUGUUUUAAGUAAAUUGCAAAUUAAUUGUUGAACAUCUUUGUUAUUAAGGUUAUGUUUGAGCCACUUUUUUUCAAAAAAAUACAUUCUUAAAUAGUGAUUUGACAUCAUUUCGACCACACAUUCUUCAAUAAAAUAAUAUUGUACGCAAAUCCAAAACUCUUCUUUAUUUUUUAACCAUACAUUUUCCAUCAAUACAUAUUCAAAAAUACAUUCUUAGAAAUAUAAUAUGACUCAAACAAGGGCUAAAAGAUGUUCUCAACGCUCAUUGCAAUUUUCAUCUUUGUUAUUUAUCAUAUAUAUAUAUAUAUAUAUGCAGCUUGAUUUUGUGAUAAUAGUUUGUGCUCUACUUUGUUUCCAUUUUGUAUCGAAGGAAGACAUAGAAAAUGUUCUCAACUCAUUAUUUGUUGCCUUGUCUGCAAAUUAAUAAAUAGUGGUUAACUGCUCCUCGGAGCAUAGCCCAGUGGUGCAAAGAAUAGGAGUAAAGUUAUCUCACGUCUUGCUGACAGUUGCAGUGUGGGGGUUCGAUUCCUGAAAUAUGGAAUUGGACUUCUUGUAGACGCAGUAUACAGGCAACUCAUGUUCCCUAACCUGUUAGGGCACAUCUCGCAAUUUACCUCCCUCACAAAGUUCUAGAAGUUGGGUGAUGGAGACUUCAAGAUUGGAGUUUAACUUUUUUUUAAUGAAUAGUUGUUGACUAAAUAAAUUAUUGUUAUUACCUUGUCAGCACAAUGAAACUAUUUUUGGAUUGUUGUUUUGAGUAAUGUAUGACUAAUAGCCCCCCUUUUUUUGUCCAAUUUUAGGAAUUUGUAGGUGUAAGUGAACCUCCUCCUAAAUUCAACAGGACCAAUCUCACCAAUGGGGAGAAGACUUGCUGUCAUCCCAGAAAGUAAUCCUUGCACCUAGCCAUCCCCCCCAACAGUGAAAAUGGCGUCUACAGACUAUGGCUAUGAAAAGAGCCUUAAAAACCCUAAACCCCACCAUUCUCAUAGUCCUGACCUCCCAAAGCCGCCACCUCAACAGCUUUGCCUCCGCCGGGCAACCCGAACCUGACAGCCCAUCUUCAUCCUUCACCUUUUCCUCUAGUGAAACUGCGCCCACCUCGAUAUCCAACAAAGACGACAAUAUAUACAUCAAAAACCCCAAAAAGACAGGAUCUUCUGUUACGAUGCCGAUUUCAUUCAUGACUGGGUCGAUCGUCGGUGGAAGGUUUUACGAAAAGUUGACUACUAGAGAUGCUAAUGAUGGAAAUAGAUGGAAUGUUAUGUUAGAUUAUCGAACCCUAAAAACUCCUUCAAAGAGACCUCUCAAUUGUUCAACUUUAGCUCUUGCUAAAGCCAUUGCUGCUGAAUGGGAGUUUCAGGUGCUCUCCUAUUACGUUUGGAUCUAUUCCUGUAUCUUUCUGUUGGCCAUCUCCUUAGAAAUGGACAAUGAUCUGGUUUAAAAUCUUAAGCUAUUAUAAAGAAACCACAAGUAUUUAUUUAAAUUUAGCAUUCAACACUUUAUUUGCAUAUGUUUAUUUGUCUGUGUUUAUAUGUUUAGAGAGAUAUGGAUGGUUUUUCAUUUGCAUCAGCCCAGAUUAGUUUUCUCCAUAAGUGCGGUUUCUUUGUAAAAUUGAUGGUUCUUUAUUUUUGGAUUUUUGGUUAAUUUAAUUGGUUAUUGUUGAAAUUGAAUUGUACUGGCAUGAUUGGACCUUCUAUGUAAAAAUUUAACUAGUGUAAUGACAAAACAGUGAGUAAAAGAGUUCUUUUACCCUUACUUCAUGCUGUGUAGCAUGGGUUUCUCUAGUAACGACAGAUGAUUGCCUUUUAUUUUAAUUUUCGGGAUAGAAUCCAUAUAUUCCUAACCUUUUCAGGGUAAAUUUUAUCAGUUGUUAGAUGAUGUUCGUCCAUCUUCUAUGCAUUAUUGUGUUAUAUGGCUUCAAUCCGCUGUAGCUUGAGUUUUAGUUGUAUCUUUAUUUUUCAAUUUUCAUUUUAUAAACUUGGGUUAAAGUUUGAGUGCUAAGUGGAAUUUGUAAUGAAGUUUUUGUGUUCAUAGCAAAUAGAUGGAAUCAGACCAUCUACAAUGCCUCUUAUGAAACUUACAUGCACCGCAUUGGAAAGAGUGCCACUUACUCGGUACAAAAUUAUCGAAUAUUUGAUGAAAAAAUUCCGUCAAGAUUUGGUUCUGCCGUGCUCCAAGAGACAGUGAUCUAACAAGCAAUGUUCUAGGUAUGCAUUUUUUUUAAGUAUUACCCCACUAUCUUCAAAUGUCUCUGGUAUAAUGAGUUUGGCAAAUAACUUCUUGCGUAAUGUGAUUUGAUCAUAUAUUAAUAAGUUUCAGGAUUCUGGCAUCACUGCAAGUGCAAGAGGGUUUCAUACUGUUAUUUGGGUGUGUUAAUUGGAAACUUGAUGUAUGUUAUCUUUCUUAUGCCCACUUCACUCAUUCAUUGGAGAGUUGAGAGAUCUAUGGCCAUUUCUUGUGAUUGAUUUUACGUAGGCUUGUAGGCAAUAGAAAAACUAAAAUGGAACAAAUGAUAUUAGCUAUUAAUAAUUUUUCCUCAAAGUGGUGACUGAAAAUCAAAGAAUGAAUGGCUCAUCCAACUAGAAGCUUGUAAAGAAAAGUUAAUGAUCAAGUUAAAGAGAUUCAAGCUAUUAAGCUGUCAAUCCAAUCUAGGAGGGCCCAGCCCAAUGAAUACUCGUGCUGGAUUUCUUGCUAGCCAAGCAUUUAAUCUUGAUAAAAUGCCAAAAAAAUUCUCUUGCAAAUUUUACACUUAAAAGUCACGUUAAAGUUGACUCUACAAAGUAUUCGUUUCUCAGUUUUCUCAUAACAUCUUUCAUUUGAGUUUUGCUAAUUGAGAUCCGAUUAAUGAACUUUAUAUCACAAGCAUGCAUCUCAUUUAGAACCCUUUACAAGAAAAGAUGAAUGGGCAGGAUUUAGUGUUGCUGUAAUGUUACCUAUUUGCAAAUUGUUCAACAUGAGUGCGACAUUUCUAUAUGAAUUUCAUUGGUGUGAAUGCAAUUUAGACAGAACAUCAUUAAAGAGAGAUAAUGGGAUACACUUGUCAAGAGAUACAUCGAAUAAAAAGAAACUAUUGUAAUAUGUGGCUCAUAUAAAGUUGAACACAUGUUUGCCAGAAUAAAUAGACCGAUUCCGGAGCGGAGAGCAUUGGACUGGAUGAAAUGGAAAUUAUAAUGGAACCCAAGUCUUAAUAGCACUAAUUUGGUGGUAAAGAUUUUCCCCACCCAGAAAUUGAAAUAUGGAUGUAAGAUGUGCAUUGAGCGCACCACAUGCCUAGGUCCAAACGAAUAAAAUUGUCUUGUGUAACAGAAAUGAAACGGUUGCUGCAAGCAAGGCUGUACAUUUUGCUUUGAGUGCGCUCCAUUUCUAUUACCGAACUUAAUUAUUAAUAUGUGAUCUACCAAAAAUUUUCUAUGGUCAGAUUUUUAUCGAACCAUCUUCUUGUGAAAGUACGGAAAAAGUCACACCCUAAAAAUUAAAAAGCUAAGCUAAUGAACAGGCCUCUAUAUUUCUGAGCUACAUUUGAUACAAGAUGGAAGCUUUUUCAAUGGAAUGAGACAUUCAAUACCUCUUUUGAGUUGAAAAUUGAUGCGCGUUAAGUUUUUACAUUUGUGUUGUUUUUUGUUUCUAGUUUUUGUUUAUUUUGCUAAUAUAUUGAUUUAUUUAUGUGCAAAACUUUGCAGAACGCCAAGUGGAGAAGCUUGAUCCUUUACUCAAUUGGGUUGAGUCAGAAUUUGGUUUUAAGCCUAUUGUAUAUUCUAGGUUUUUUGGUGGCAAACAGGAGGAAGGUCUGGUUGAUACCAUUGAGAACCUUCUUAAAAAGACAGAUGAUUAUGAGUUGGCGACAAUUGAUGCAAUUGCUGCUUCUGCGCAUUCGUUAGUCAUUGCACUUGGAAUCUUUUGUGGUCGAUUGGACAUAGAACAGGCAAUUGAGUUGAUCAGAUUGGAGGAAGAUUUACAGGUUCUUGAUCGUGUUACAUUCCCCCUUAACUUUCCAAAACACAAGGGAAAGCAUAAAAAAACACAUAAAAUGAUUAUUAUGUCAAACAGUAUUGCUAGAAUCUAAACCCACUCUUGAUACUGUAAAUUUGUUGUUCUUUUGCAGGUUGACCGGUGGGGUUUAGUUGAAGGCGGCCACGAUGUUGAUACUGCUGAUCUUCGAGUACAAGUCUCAGCUGCUACAGUGUUUAUCGGACUUUCAAGGAAGAUUAGUUACUGACUAUUUUCUUUAACUUUGAUUAGUUAUAACAUGAGAAUAAGCUUUCCCAUUUUGCUCAUAGCAAUACUUCCCCUUUGUUUGUAACUUUCCAAUGCACUUAGCACAGAUAUUUGGCAUAUAUUGUGGCAUUUUUACUAAUUUGAAUUUUUGUAUCAACCAGUGUGUUUCGAAUGCAUUGUUGUGACUUUUCAGGGAAUACUUGGUCGUCUUAUAUGAAUCAAUUAUUAUAGGAUGAACAACUGCACAUGCGCAUGUAGUAAUUACAUUAAAAACUAUAAUUGUGAGAUGAUUGAGAUAUUUUGUAAUUAUUUUUUAGGUUAAUCAUUGGGUAUUAAAUAUAUAUAGACUUGUACACCAUGCCACCUAAAUAUGUCUGGUGCUCAAAGGAGAAAAAAGAAAUGGAAUAAAAUUGCAUUAACUCAAUGUUAAGCAGGGGAUAUUGACAAUUAUUUUAAAAGCAAUAAUGUGAAUGCGUUGGAUGAGGAUGAAAUGGAGAUUCUACCUGCCUGUGUUAAUAAAGUAGAUGAUGAGGAAGGAUGAAUAAGUGAGUCAAUCUCCUUGUGUUAAUGAAAUAGAUGACAAGGAAGAAGAAGUGAUGAAAUCUGUCUGUGUUAACGAAAUAGAUGAUAAAUAAAAAAGGGUUGUUUUUCUCUAAAUUUGGAUCAUACUGGGAAUAGAAAAAUCUUUGAUCAAAGAACAAGGAAUUACAUAGUUGAAAUAGGUUCAGAAAGAGUAGAUGACAUCUCGUUUCUGAAAGAUUGUACAAAUAGACAUUUUGAUUUUUCACAAUAUAAGCGAUUAAUACUAAUAGGGCAAAUAAUUGAUAGAAGAUGGCUAGUAUAUUCAGUGUCAUACAUGAUCUUCUGCUUUUAUGGCAAGUUGCUUAAAAUGUCAAAAAAUGUGACCAAAGUUGGCCAACUGGGUAAUGAUGGAUUCGAAGAUUUGCAUAAUUUUCAUCCGUCUAUUACAAACACAUGAAGGAAAUGGGGAGCAUUUACAUUGCAUGACUAGUUGGAUUGAAUUGGAAAAUAGAUUUUGCACAAAAACUACAAUUGGCGUUCAAUUAUUGAACGAUGAAGUAAGAGAAUAUUGGAGAUAUGUUAUAUUUAUUAACAAAGACAAUCGCUAUUAUAAAACGACUUGCCAAAAGCACAUUGCCAUUUCAAGGAGAUGAUGAAAGGUUACAUGUUGAGAAUAAUGACCUAUUUUUACAAAUGGUAGAAAUGAUUAAUAAGUUUGAUUCAGUAAUGCAAGAAAACUUUUAGUAUGCUAAAGCAUGAGAGAUUCAAUAUACAUAUUUUAGCAAAAAAAAUUCAAAAUGAGUUGAUACAAUUGUUGGCUAAUGAGGUGAGAAGUUCAAUUGUCAAAAAAGUUAAACAUGCAAAAUAUUUUUCAUUUAUACUUGAUUCUAUUCCAGAUACAAGUCACGAUGAGCAAAUGUCUUUAAUAGUACGAUUUGUAGGUGAUUCAGCAAACUUACCUAUUAUUGAACAUUGGCUUGAAUUUUUGAAGGUAGACGACACAAUAGGACUUGAAAUUGAAAUUAAGUUUCAAAAGAUUUUGAUCAAAUUUGAUCUGGAUAUUGAUGACAUUAAAGGGCGAGAGUAUGACAACAAAUCAACACAUCGUUCUCCUCUUGUACCAAGUGAUGAAAAUUUUUCAAAAAUAAUGUACAAGGUUUUUAACAAUAAAGUUGUUACUAACAAGUUGGGAAAGUCAUGUUGAGAGUGUGAAGCCUAUAGUGGAGCAAAUUGCAAAAAUAAAAUAUGCUUUACUUGAUUUGGCAGAAAGUAACUAAGAUCCUAAAGUGAAGAGUGCAAUCAAGUUGAUAGCAACAUAUGAACUUUAGAAUGUUGAGUUCUUGCUUAGCAUGAUAAUUUGGUACAUGUUGUUGCAUGCAAUCAAUAUUGUAAGUAAAUUUCUUCAAACUGGAUCCGUAGAAAUCAUGUUAUCGUCCUCUUGUAAGGACUUGUUUCAUUGCUUGAAGAUUAUAGAAAAUUGAAUUUGAUAUUGCCAUGGAUUAAUUGACAAAAAAAGGCAAGUUGUAUUUACAGAAAAAACAUGUAAUUUGAGGAGAAAAGCAAUUUGAUGAAUGCGGGAAUGAUGAGGAAAAGUAAUCAACCGAAAAAUCUUUUAGAGUUGAAUUUUUUAUUUUUUUAAUAAUUGAGCAAACUCUAUCUUCUUUACGGACUCGAUUUGAACAAUUCAAACAAUAUGAUGGCACAUUUGAAUUUUUGUUUAAUUUGAAGAGGUUAAGGGACACAACUUUUUCAAGUUUUUUGAACUCUUGUAUGAAUCUUGAGAAACAUUCGAAGCAUAAUGGACGUUCAGACACCGUUGGAGAUGGCAGUUACAAGUUUUGAGAUAUUAUAUACCAAGUGAAGCAACAAGAGAAAUUGAAGUGUUUAUUUAAAGGCAUUGAAUGUUUGUUUGCUAAAUGCUUAUAUUGCUUAUAAAAUUUUGUUAACCAUAUCAGUUAUUUUUGUAUCUGUAGAGAGAAGUUUCUUAAAAUUGAAAUUGUUCAAAUCCUAUCUCUGAUCAACUAUGUCACAAGAAAGAUUGAAUGGAUUGUCUAUGUUAUCAAUAGAGAAAGAAAUGGUUGAGCAGCUAACUUAUUCAGAUUUGAUUAAUAUUUUUGCCUCUAAAACAGUAAGGGAAAUAGUAUUUAACUAAUUGUUUGAAAAAUUGUUAGUUUAAUUGUUAGUUUUGUUAUCUUAUAAUAUAAACAUUUUCUAUAAUAUAUUUAUUUGUUGUUUUAAUGUUAAGUUUUUAAAUUGGCAAUAGGUUGCAUAAUAUACCAUUAAAUUUUGCACUUACGUUGAUUUCAUCGAGAUGACUAAUUUAUUGACUUCGCCUCGGGCUUUGAAAAUCACAGGACCAGUCCUAAGGGGUCGAGGACAAGGACGACUAUUUAUGGCUAAAUCAUCCACCAGAUUUAAAAAAGGAAAACAUAGAAUAUUUCCCAUUAAUAAAAUUGAGCAAGAAUUUCAACUCCCAUUCAAAAUAUAUUACCAAUAAUAUUUUUUGGAGGAAAAAGGAGGAAAAGGUAAUGCAACAAUCAUACAAUUCUAAUCAAAUGAGAGACUAAAGGAAAAAAGUUUACCUCAACAAUCAGGAAUUCAAAUUGAGAUGUUCUAAUGCGACAAACACUCAAACUGGGCUACUCUAAUUUACCUCAACAUUAAGGAAUUCAAGGCAAAUAAUUAAAACCCAAUUCAAAAAGGGAAAUGAGUUAAGAUGGCCACCGUUCAUAAGAAAUUUGUACAAAGAGCCUUUGACCGAAAUUGUCAAAAUAAAAGAAAUUUUAAUUAUUUAAAACAGUCAAAAGACACUUUUACCCUUAUGUUGUAAAAUGAGAUUGAAGAAGAAUUGGAGAUUUUCUUUUCAUUCAUUCACACUUGAAAACCUCCCCAAACCUCUUCAUUCUCCAAAUUCAAAAUCCUCUUCUCCUUCCAAUUUACCUCCUUCGACAUUUAACCGUUCUCCUUCAAGUCUAAAGCUAUCUCUUCUCCUUCUCCUUCAAAAUUUCACAGAUUCUCAAGUCAAGGGUAAGAGAGAGGUGCUCUCAACUCCAAUAAGAGAAGGUUCCACUAGAGUGCCUUUGAUUUCUUGAGUUCUUGUGUGUUUUUGUCUUAGAUUUAAAAUCUCUUAUUCCAUUUGGAAUUUUUAAAACUUAUUAUUUUGUUUAGAUAGAUUUAUAAAAGUUUCAGUUGGUAUUCGACUAUUUCCAGUCAGUGGUUUACAGCUCUUGGGUGGUUUGAUCAGUUCCAGUUCUGCAUUCCAGGGUGAGAUUCGGUCAGCAUUUGCUUGGGUGUUUAGUUCGUAUUUCUGUGGAUUGCAAGGAGUUAGCUUCAAUGGAUCAGGUUUGGAAUUGUGAUUGUUUGGCCUUUCUCUUCCGCGAACAAGUUUAUUUGUAUAUGUAUGCUAAUUUAUGAAUUGAUGAUGAUUUGUGAAAGUUUUAACACUAUUUUUUUGUUGAAUAUUGGGUGUGAUUAAUUAGCUACUGAAAAUUCAAUCGAGUUGAUUAUAUUACUCCCUAUUAUAUAGGUUUGAAUUUUGUUGAUUAGUGAAGUUGAAUAUAUAUUUUCUAUAUUAUAUUAUUCAAAUGUUUAACUUGCACCAGAAAAUUGCAUUGUAGUAGAAUAUUGAGUUUUUACUUAAAUCAUCAAAGCAAGGAGCUUCGAUUGUUAACUACUCUUUAAGCCACCGUCUCUAAGUAUCAAAAUAAGAAACUAUAAGAAUCAAUUGCAUAUCAGAACAAUUUCGAAAUAAAAGAAACACGAAUUUCCCCAUGAUUUCACAUGACAAGUGCAGUAUUUAAGAGCAUAUGUAGACCAUGAUAAAAUAGUGAAAAUAGACAAAGGAUAAAGACAGGAAAUGGUCAUUUACAGUGAAUUAAUACCAUUCCAAUGGAGCUGGGAAUUGUGAGGGAGAAUUUGUGGUCAUAGUUAUAAUAUUUGGUCAAAAGAUCUGUAACAAAACUAAGUACCUUACAGUCAAUAGGAACAGAUACUAAUUUUGAUCAUAAUAAAGGGUCUUAUAAACACAUCAAUGUGGGAGAGUCCAUAAACCAAGAAAGGAAAUUUAAAAAGCCAGUUGCAAGAGAAUAACAUUUUUGAUAAUAUAUUUGAAAAGGACAAUACAUAAUUGAGAUAGUAAAUCUUCAAAUGAGAGCAAUAACACACACCUUCAAACACCUACAAUUCAGGAGUUGUUGCAACUCUCAGAGAUUGGAAAAAA